CCGGUCUGUUGUAGGUCUGCCUACCUUGAAGGCGCGGGCGGCGGAUCUGCCCUGCCCCUCCUACCACGCCUGCGGACCCCUGGGCCUGAUCUGCAGGUUGAUCACUGGUCUGCUCACCCUGCGGGCACGGGUGGCGGUUCCGCUCCACCCCCACUCCAGUUGGGGUCACGUGACCACCACACCGGCAGGGCCUGAUCCGGGCGUGGGAUAAGGAUCUGCUCUGCCCCUACUCGAGUUGGGGUGACGUGUGUACCACACUGGCAGGCCACUGGGCCUGACCCGCCAGGCUGUCACAGGUCUGUUUACCUUGCAAGCGCGAAGGGCGGCUCUGCCCUGCCCCUCCUACCAUGCCCAUGUACUACUGGGUCGUGGGUCUGCCCACCUGGCGGGUGUGGGUGGCGGCUCCGCUCCGCCCCCUCUCCAAUUGGGGUCACGCGGUCACCACGCUGGCGAGCCGCUGGGCCUGCUCCGGGGGCUGGCGGCGGCCCGGCUCCUUCCCUCUGGCUCGAGGACAAAUUGAGGAGACUCGGGUGACUGCGCCUCACCCCCCUUACCAGGAGACCAACUGCUUAUGUCACCGCUGGUAUUGAUGAAGAUCUCUCCUCCACCGCUUUCUGCUGACAUCAGAUCUCUGCCAUGUUGGUAUCCUAUGCGAAUGGCAGCAUUUCGUUCCCCUUGCCAGGCAACCCAAGCAAUGGGUGAGUCCUGACCUGCCCUCAGCAGGACCCGGACCGAGACACAGUUUCCGCGGGCUCCUAGCCCCGGUCCAGGGAAGUUCCGGGAGCCGGAACUCGGCCGCGCCGUGCUCGGUGUAAGCUCCUAUAAGUGUAAGCUCCAAGAAGCAGCCCCCGCGGGCUCAGUUCCGGGAGCCGGAAUUCGGCCGCUUAGUGCUUGGUGUAUGCUCUGAUAGUAGCAGGGUCCAAGAAGCAGCCUCCGCGGGCUCCGCAGCCCUGAGCCAGGGCGGUUCCGGGACGGUUCCGGGAGCCGGAACUCGGCCGCUCUGUGCUCGGUGUAAGCUCCUAUAAGUGUAAGCUCCAAGAAGCAGUCCCCGCGGGCUCAGUUCCGGGAGCUGGAAUUCGGCUUCUUGGUGCUUCGUGUUUGCUCUGAUAUUAGCAGGGUCCAAGAAGCAGCCUCCGCAGGCUCCGCAGCCCGGAGCCAGGGCGGUUCCGGGACGGUUCCGGGAGCCGGAACUUGGCCGCCCCGCGCUCCGUGUUCACUCCGAUAAGAUCAGAUUUUAAGAAGCCCCCAGGCGCUGAACCCUAGCAAUCUGUCUGCAAGCCGCAGGUGAAUUGCAGCCUGAAAUUACCUGUUCUAUGGCUGAAUGAGCUGCGGUCAGUCAAAAACAGGUGUGGUGACGUCAGUUUACCAACCUGGUGGCUGCUGGCCUCCUCUGUGGUCUGACCAGUGUGGAGAACCGAGAUGGACCGCUUCCUUCCCCGUCUCGAACCCAGAAUUCAGCCCUGAGUGCGGUGCUUGCGCGUCUGGCAGAAACUGCAGCGCUGUAACCCUGCGUCUCUAUCCCAGCGCGCCUUGCAGGCUCUAGCCGCGGGGCGAUUUGCUUAAUAAGCAGUGUUACCCUCCAUGCGACAAACCUCUCGCCUUAUAAUUCAUUUUGAUUGCUGGGGCAUUAUCGGGGCAUCCUGCAAAGCUCAACUAAUGCAAACCUAAUUCUUCUUUAAUACUCACCCCAGGAAGAGUUUAACAUGAAAACAGUAAGAUUUAUUUUUCAGUCUGCAGAUUAUUUUAAACCCUUAGUUGCUAGAUUUUCUGCACUUUAUAUAAGGAAAAUAACCAAUAAUCAGAAUGUUCUAUUAUGUCUUCCUCUAUAAAGUGGGUAAGGAAAGACACAGAGAUCAGAAUGGGCAGCUACAGAGUCUGCAAGGUGACUGCAGGAAAUUCAAGCGAGUAGAACAGAUGUACCAUAACAGCAUAUACGACAGCGCUUCAGAUAUAUAAGAAUUCUACUAUCUGUCCUGUAAUUUAUAAAUAUUAUUUAUGUAGCUCUUGAUAUAUAUACUUUCAUCCACAUAAUAAUCUAAUAAGGAAGAUAAUAUUAAUUACCCACAUUCUAGGAAACAAAACUGGACAGAUUAAAUAACAUGCCCAAGACUCACUCCAAGGUCUGGUCUGACUUUGCAUUUAUGCUUUUUAACUACUGUACUUUGUGGCUAACCACUGAUGAAAAAACCAAUCUGUAUACUUCUUAUCAAGCCCAGUUUUAGCAAGAAUCUUGCUAAGUCAGUUUAGCAACAAUUUUCCUCUUUUAUUAUCUGAUAUCUUGUCAAAUUUCCUCAUCUUUCUCCAUCUCCCAGCUGAUAUUGAUCAUGCUGGCAUGCCUUAAGCAAAAAUCCCCCUAGAAUUGAUGUCUAUUCUUAGUAAUUUUCCAUACACCAGUGAACUACCACCAAGAACAACUUCCUCUGUGGAAUCCUCACUUAUUCUGAUUAUAUUUAGAAUUAAGUUCAUUUCUAUAUUAAACUUUAUCUUCCUCUAUUGUAAUAUCAUCACUCCUUUAACUUCUGUCUGGCCCUGGAUUUCUUUAAUACCAUUUAGCAGUGAAUCUCAAAGUGUAGUCAUCAACAAAAUCUAGGAAUUAAAGAGAAAUUAUAAAUAUUUGUGCCCCACCCAAGACCUAGUGAAUAAAAACUCUGGGGAUGGGACCCAGAGGUAUGUUUUUAACCAGGCCUCCAUGUGAUUUUGAUAUUUUGUUUGUUUGUUUUUGUUUUACUAAAGAUAACAAAUCCAUCUCUCACUUUUUCAUAGUCAAACUACAAAGCUACAUUUUAAGUCUUAUUUAUAAAAAUGUAAUGCAAGAUUUUGGCAUUUCGUUUUGUCUUGUUUCUUAUAUUGGCAAGAGUUUCCAGUGCCACAGCACUAUGUGGGCACCUGUCUCUGCUGCCUUUGGAGACGCCACAACAUCUCCAUUCAACUCUUCUGAGUUUCCAUGUCCUCAUGUAUCUACCCAGUUUGUCUAUCAGAAUUGAUCCAGUACUGUCUCAGACACAUAGCAGAUAACUUAUAUUUGUUAAUUAAAUAAUUAUUACACUGGUGGAUAAACUCUGGUACAGAUUUUAAAUUAUUAUUCUAGGUACAAUAAAGUGGGACCAUUAAUUCUUAUUGACAUCUGAUUGACACAAGUAUUAAUUUCAAGGCAUUGUCAUAUUGUGGUAAACUAUAUAUGACACAUGUAGUCAUUAGUCUCUGAAGAUGGACCCUUCCAACAACCCAUGCUUUGCAGUAAUCAGAUCUUGUGUAGAUGCACUAUUUAUCUCAAGAUGGAGUCAUAAAACACCAUGCAGUUUCUACAUGGGUCUCUUGGAAUAUGUAUUAAGGCAAGCACUAGUCACCAUGCAAAAAGUCUAUCUUGAGACCUCCAUGCUGUAAGGGAGCCCAAAAUAUCUAAUCAUGUAGAGAAACUUUAUGGAAAAAGAAAAAUGCCCUGAAAACCCCAGCUGUUGCAGGCAUCCCAUGUGAGGCAACUGACAUGUGAAUUAGGAGGCCAUGAUGAACUUCCAGCCCUGUUAACCUUCAGGUGACACUAGCUCCAUCUGCCGUCAUCACCACAUUGACUAAAUAUAAUUAAAUGGAGUUAAAGGAGAAGUGUGAGCUCUAUGUAUAAUUCAUACUCUUUUGCUAGCUUUAGUAGCACAUUGGUGUUCUCUACAUGUGGACUAUAAGUGGUCUUAUUGUAAAUAUGAAAACUAAAUUUGCAUGGCAGGCAGUGUUGCAUAUUGCAUACUUCAGUCAAGUUAGAAAUUUCAUUAACAGCACAGGGAUUAUUUUUAUGAGUGUCCAUAAAAGAAAAAGGGAUAAAAUUUGUAUCCUGCUUAAAAUUUUAUAACUGGUAUUCCACUGUACAUUAAGUAGAUCAGUUCCUAAUACAGUCCAAGCAAAUUCACAAAAUGUUGACUCGCAUUACUUAACAUAAAGAGGCAAAGACUUGUACCUUCUAGUUCUUACUAUGACAGCUUGUUCAGAGAGCCAAGUAAAUACAUGUUACUUUCUUCACUGGGGCUUUCCCUGUGACACCUGGUAGGCUCAUUUAUUUGGCAUAAUAUAGCUUAUAUUUGUCAAGUUCCUGAUCCUCUAAAAUCACCUUUUUUACUAAAUUUUUCUCUCUUUUUUCCAUAUGUCCCUAUAUAUUCUUCAAUAUAUAGAAAGCUAAAUGCAUAGCCUUAUGUACUACGUACCCAUUUAUCACAAAGUAUAUAUACUAGCUUCAACCUGUACAGCUGAAUCAUAACAUACUUAUAGGUAAAUGUCACUUCUUAAUUUGCUUUUAUACUCCCACAGUACCUAGCUUCAUGUAUUAGAAAUUCUUAAACAAAUAUUUAUUCAAUGAAUGAAUGGAACAAAUGUAUAGUAUGUUUGAAAGAUACUGUAUUCUGUUUCCCAGAUCCACAUAUUUACAGGAUUGCUGAUAAACUGUAACUGCUCCAUUCUGCUGAAUCUCUGAUUUGUCAGUUGAGCUCUACAAUUAAUUCUCAAAUUCUAUUCAAUUUAUGCAGUGAGCUGGGUUCCUUGGGGAUACAGGAGAGGGAAAGUAAUAUCUUUUUCUUACUCAUCUCAAGGUUUGUAACUAAAACCCCUAAAGCAAAAGAUAGAUUAACAAAAGAAAAGCAUAACAAAUUUGAUGGAAAUUUUAUGAUGUGGGAGCCUUCAGAAUGGAAGACUCAAAGACUCAAGAAAAACUAUGCAUGUUUAGGUUUAUCCUUGUUGAGAAAUGGACAAUCAUCUAGAAGUAUUACUGGACAAAAAGAGAACAUCAUCUAAUGUUAAUAAACUGGAGCUUCCUGGUAUAAGCAAGUUCUUGGGAUUAUACAAACUGCUGCUUCUGUUUCCAGUCCAGAUUUCUAGAAAUGAAACUCUGGGCCGCGCUGACGAGCGUCCGCGCUUGUCUGGGACCGUAGCAGAGCCGCCCUGGCGAGCGUCCGCGCUUGUCUGCGACCGUAGCAGAGCCGCCCUGGCCUCCGCAGCUCUUCAGCCCGGUGUCAGGCCCCAGGGGCCCAAGCGGCUGCCGCCGCGACUCUCCGUCCCCCUCCUCAGGAGCACGGGUCCCCUGGCAGGGGGGUGCAGAACGACCCCAGAGCAGGCUCUGCCCGGAGGUGCAGCAGCGAACAGGCCACAGAGACGCUCGAGGCUGCAGUCCAGCCUUCGGAGGACAGGGCUCGGCACGCAGCCCAGCUCCAACCUCUAGGUGCGGCUGCCGGACAGUGUAUACAGAGCCAUCAAGACAGCAAGCAGAAAGCAAAUGGCGGCUCCCACGGAGUGGAUUUUCGGCACAGAAACCACAGCCCCGCCAGCAAUCCCAAUCCACAAACUCUCCCUGUAUAAAAAUUAUUCAAAAAAAAAAAAAAAAGGCGUGGCGCACUGAGCUUUCUUUGCCUCGGGUACUUACAAUCCACUGCUGAUUACACAUUCAGCUUCUCCGCCCGGAGCGAAGCGAAAGAGGCAAAAAAUUUGAAUGUAAGUUCAAGUUGAUUUAUUUUUAAUUAAUUCCACUGAUGGUGAAAUAAGUCAGAUUUCUACUUUGGGAGAUAGGACAAUACCAGAACAACAUUAAAAGCUACAAAAGAAAGAAAAGUAAAAUAAAAUAAAGGAGUUUUGUCUAUAUAGUGUAAAAUGUCAAUGUUACUUCCACUGUAAGAAAAAAAUAUUCUUAGUAAAUGGUAUAAAGUUCUUAUAUACAGUCCAUUAUAAUGCUCUGACUUUAUCUGAGACUCUAGUCAGGCCCAUCUUUCAGGUUAAUCUGUAUAAAAUAAAAUAGAUAAGGUAUUUUGAAGAAACUAAGCAUUUUGCCCAUCAAGUGUCUGAUGUUUACAAAAUAUUACUUUAAAAAAAUAGCAAAUACUUAUUUAUACACUGCUGAUUUUCAGGGUCAGCUUUAUGGACAUUCCACCACUGAAGUCUCAAAAUCCCUACAGUGAGAAGGAAGAGCUCCACUGAGGUUUAGCAUUCUGUACUUGCCAUCCUGAAAUGCUUAAUAAUAAUUUUAUCUUUGAAUUUUUUUUUUUAAAUAUAGUCCAAAGGGACAAAGGAUCACAUGCUGGAGUCUGUCAGUCAGUUAAAGUGUAGUUCACUCUCCAAUACUUCUUGUGUCUCCAGGAAUUGUUUCCAGACAUUCCAUCUGCCACUCCCUUAGGCUUUGGUACCCUGAUGAUCUCUCUCUCCUGAUCUUGCCCACUGACCAAUGUCACCCUCUCUCCUCAGCAGAGGCCUAGGUGUGGAUACAGGGGAAUUUAAUAUGUAAUUCCUAAAACUAUGAAUAUAGUAAGAUAGCAUGCCUAUAAAUAUGUCAUAUGGAAAAUGGGAUUUUAGAGAUAAUUAAGUGUACUAAUAAUUCACCUUAAGUAUUCAAGAAGGAGAUUAUCCAAAUGUGCCCAACCUAAUUGGGUGAGGCUUUAAAAAGCAAUGAGUUUUGUUUGGUGGGCAGAAGUCAGAGAUGUCCAAAGAAUGAGGACAUGGUGUGCCAUCUCUGCACUGAAGAUGGUGUAGACAAUUAAGAAGGAAUGUAGGUAGCCUCUGGGAUCUGAAAGCAGCUCUUUCAUAAUAUACCUCAGACCAAAGGAAAUAGAUUCUGAAAGCAGUCAGAGUAACGGUGGAAAAGGAUUUUCCCCAGAUCCUCUAUAUAAGAAUCUAGCUUGACCAACACUUGGAUUUUAAACUGAGAGGCCAAUGGGUGUAGUUUCUAACAGCUAAAUUUGUGAUAAUUUGUUACUUAGCAAUACAAAACUAAUACAAAACACUUCUACUUUUCCUAAGUUGUCCUUUGAUGUUAUUACUUUUCAAAAGAGGAAGACAGUUAUUCUAUAAAAUUAAUAGUUGGUUACAGUGGAAUCUUAAAAGACACAUUUUCUGUGUUUAGAUGAACCUACAAACACUAUUCCUGUAUGAAAUAAUUUAUGACAAGGCUAAAUAGUUUUAUGAAUGAUAACAUUUAUAGUCAUCUUAAAUAAAGAUAAUAAAAUAUGCAUUAAAACAUCAGAACCCUAUAGUGUUCUAAAAUAAAUUCGUAGUCUCAUUCAUGUCAAGCUCAUGUAUUUGGUACAGGAUAUUACAAGACUUAAGAGAAAGAUUAUAAAAAUAUAACAGUCUUCCUCUCUGAGGGUCAUAUUUAUUUUGAGAAAGGAACAGAGAGAAAGAAACUUGGUGGUGAGUGUAGGUCAAGCUAAUUUGAUCUCUGUUUUUUUUGUUUAAACUAUCUUUGGGUCUCUUUGAAAACAAUCAUUUUACUCUGAAGUCCUAGGAGGCCCUUUCGCUUUUGGUUUCUGUGAAAAAGUGUUGGAGGAUAAAUGGGACAAGGAAGAAGGAAGGAUUUGUGCUGGAAUAAAAGAAGCUCACUUGAAUUUAAUGUGUAGCCAGGAUCCAAGUGGGCCAUUUGGAGUUGAUGGAGGUCACACACUGGUGUGUGUCUUGUGUUCUUCACAACUCAGUUUCCCUGCUUUCUGUAUAUCAACCUUUUCUCCCUGUACCUCUUCAAUGUGAGACCCUCCAAAGGCUGAUUCAAAAUCUUCAAGGAGACCAUUCCAUUUAUUCCCUGGAAGCCAGCAGGCCAUUGCAAUAGCAUAUAUUCUUCUCUGAGGUACAUCGUAACCAUAACAUUAUUAAAAUUAAACCUAAAUUUACUUUGCUGAAGCAUCUGAGUUGUCCAGAAAAAAAUUAAAUCAAUGAUAAACUCUGAAUAAAUGAAAUUUAAGUCAAGACCCAUAUUAUUAUUUUAUAUUUAAUCCCCAAUAGAAGAACAUUGAUUUAACCUUUUUUUUUAAAUUUGAUGUCACUCAGCCAGGAGACCCUUAAACACAGCUUGCUACCAACAAUUAUUUAUGCUCCUUUUCUGAAAAGCACCUAAUAACUGCUAAUUAAGUCUUUUGUAGCCUGACUCCGAACUAAUUAGGCUUAAUUGAGCCUGCUUGUGCAUUAGCUAUUGCAGCUUUUGUCCUGGUAAUCAGGAUUUUAGAGCACACUGAAUAUUCACUCAAUCUGUUUGCUUAGACUUCUCUCUACUGGACAUUCUCCUACAGGCCUUUGUCAUUUCUUAAUGGGCAAUAGUUAGCCACUCUCUGCUUUAAAAACUAGGAAUGGAAAAACCAUUUGACCCAGUUAUCCCACUCCUUAGUAUAUAUCCACAGGAUAAAAUCAGUCUACUACAGUGACAUAGCCACAUCAAUGUUCACAGAAGCUCAAUUCACAAUAGCUAAGCUAUGGAACCAACCUAGGUACCCAUUAACAGAUGAAUGGAUAAAGAAAAUGCGUUAUAUAUACACAAUGGAAUAUUACUCAGCACAAAGAAGAAUGACUUUAUAAUAUUUGCUGGUAAAUGAAUGGAUCUGGAGACUAUCAAAUAUUUGAUUAUUUGAUUCAUCAAAUAAUCCUUUGAUUUUACAAAGUUAAAAUCCUUCUUUCAGGUACUGUUAGGUAUGGAGAGCCAAAUCAGGCAGUCCUGAUUACAAACAUCUAUAAAACAAAAUAAGCAAAAUUCUCUUCAGAAUUCUAUCUUACCUUCAGAAACUAAUCUUUCUCUGGGUGUGCCACAUGGCACAAAAGUAAAUCACUGAGGGAAAGGGGGUACAGCUCAGGGGUAGAUUGUGUGCUUAGCAUGCUAGCAUGGUCAAGGCCCUGAGUUCAAUUCUCAACACCAAAAAAAAAAUAAAGUAAUCCAUAAAGGUAGUCAUAAUUUAAACAAAACACAAAAAUAGUGCCAUUGGUAUAACUAGCUUCCUCGGUUCAAAGCAUAUAUAAAACCAUAUCUUUUCAAUAUUCAAAGUAAUCUAACUUAUAGGAGACAAUGUCAUGGAAAUAAUCCCCAUUUCCAUGAUUGAAAAACUCACUCCCUACCUGAGGAUCUUUAGUUCAUAUUCAAACAUUCUGCCUUAGUUCCUCACACUUACCCACAAGGGUUGGAUGGCUGGGUCAGAGGUAUGUCUAACCUCCCCUGCAUUACAGUGCCCCUGGUUACACUGCCACCCUGGUCAUCUAGUCUAGGUUUGGAUUCAGAUUCCUUUUCUAAGUGACUGCCUGGGGACACUCAGAAUCUUUUCCUGACGGAGGCCUUCAGCUAGCCCGGCUCAAUACAGCUGAAAUAUCCUAAUAACAUUAUACCUUUGGAGGGAAGGAAUGUGUGCCUGAGGGUUUCAAUCCUGGAGUACCUAGAAACAUAAUAACUCUAUGGUCAUGAAACCAGAGAAUAAGUUGAUCAGGUGACCAAUGUUAACUUCACCAACUAAACAUCUAUAUUUUUUAUUAAAGAAAGAUCUCAAAUCAACAACUUAAUUUUCUACCUUAAGAACUAGGGGAAAAAAAGGGCUUGGGGAUGUAGCUCAGUCAUAGAGCACUUGCCUAGCAUACAAGAGGCCCUGGAGUUCAAUCCCUACCACUUCAAAAACAAAAAGAACAACAACAACAACAACAACACAUACACACACUCUUCCUCUCUUUCACAUACACACAGACACAUACACACACACACACAACUAGAAAAACUGAUAAAUCUUUAGCUAGACUGAGGGAUGAAAACAAAAUUGAAGACUCAAAACUAUAAAAUCAAGACUGAAAAAGAGGAAACCACUCUAAUUUAGGCUGGGGUGGGUGGGAAGGAUGAAAAGAAAACACUAUGAACAACUGCAUGUCAACAGAUUAAGUAACUCAGAUGAAAAGGACAAAUUACUAGUAUGAUGCAAAGUACUCAAAAUGACCCUCCCCUCACAAAAUUAGAAAGUCUGAACAGGACUGUAAUGCCUGAGGAGACUGAAUUAGUAAUUUAAAAAUCUCACACAAAGAAAAGCUCAGGUCCAGAUUACUUCAUUUGGUAAAUUUUGACAAAUGCUUAAAGAAUUAAAGAAUUAUACUAACCAUUCAUAAGCUUUUCUGAAAAAUAGAAGAGUAGGUUAUACUUCUCAAUUCAUUCAAAGAUACCACAAGGAAAACAAAUAAGCAAGCAAACAAACAAAAUCACAAAAACUACAAAAAAAUCCCUACUAACCAAUAGCCCUUAUGAAUAUAGAUAUAAAAAUUCUCAUCAAAAUAUUAGCAAACUGACUAUAGCAACACAUAAAAGGAUCAUACACUAUUACAAAAUGGACAUUAUUCUUGGAAUGCCAGGUUGGUUUAAGAUCUGAAAACCAAUUAGUGUAAUAUUAUAAAUUAAGGGCAAAAUUAAUUUGAUUAAUCCCCAUAGAUGCCAACAAAGCAUUUGGCAAAUAUGAUGUCUUUUCAUGAUGAAAAUGUUAAACAAAAUAAGAAUAGAAAGGAAUUUCUUCAACCUGUUAAAGAGGGUUGAUAAAACCUCACAGUUGUAAUACUUAGUGGUGAAAGACUGAAUGUUUUCCUCUGAGAUUAGGAAUAAGACAAAGAUGUCUGUUCUCACUAGUUCUUUUUAACACUGUAACAAAGUUUCUAGCCAAGGCAAUUAGGCAGGACAAAGAAACAAAAGUCAUCCCAGUUGGAAAAGAAGUAAAAAAAAACAAACAAAAAAAACAAACCAAAAAACCCCAAAACCUGUGUAUUUAUGGAUGACAAGAUCUUGUGUGUAGAAAAUCCUAAGAAAUCCAUUAAAAACCAUUAGAGGUAAUAAGCAAGUUUGCUGGAUAUAAGAUCGAUGUGCAAAAUCAAUUGCAUUUUUUGCAUUAGUACUGAACUUUCCAAAAAUGAAAUUAGGAAAUCAAUUCCAUUAUCAUGGCAUAAAAAAGAAUAAAAUACUUGAGUAUAAAUUUAACAAAAAAAGUGCAAGAUUUGUACACUGAAAUCUGUAACAGAUUACUGAAAGAAACAUGUUAGGACUCAGUAAAUGAAGACUCCCAUGCUCACAGAUGAAAAGAUUUCAUACUGGUAAGAUGGUAAUACUCCCCAAAUGGGUCUGCAGACUCAAUUCAAUCCCUAUCAAAAUUCCAACUACUUUUUUUUUGCAGAAAUUGGCAAACUAACCUUAAAAUUCACACAGACCUCAAGGGACCCAGAAGAAACAGAACAAUCUCAAAAAAGACCAAAUUCAGAAAACUCAGCAAUUUCCAACAACAAAAUAUAUUACAAAGCCUCAGUAAACAAGAUGGUGCAAUACUGGAAAUACAUGUAAACAUAUAGAUUCAUGAAAUAGAACUGAAAGUCCAGAAAUAAAUUCUUACUUUUAUAGUCAAUUGGUUUUGAACAAGAGUUCCAAAACAAUAUAAGGGAGAAAGAAUAAUCUUUCAACAAAUUGGGGUAGAAAACUAAACACCCACAUGCAAAAGAAUGAAGUUAUAUUCUUAUUAUUAUUUUUACUAUAAACACAUGCACAUGCAAAUAACACAAUGGUUCAAAGGCCUAACUGUAAGAGGUUAACAAUGAAACUUUUUUUGUACAUAUAUGUGCAUAUAUAUGUAUAUAUAUAUAGUAUAUAUAUAUAUAUAUAUAUAUAUACAACCUUCUCUACCACUGAGAUUAAAUCCUAAUUAAAAGAAUAUGUAUGUCAAUUUAAACUGGGCAAAGGAUUCAAAUAGCUUUUUUUUUCUAAAGAAGAUAUACAAAUCACACAUACAUAAGCACAUGGAAAGAGGCUCACCAACAUUGCUCAUUUAGGAAAUCCAAACUACAGUAAGAGUCUGAUUUAUAACUUACUAGGAUGUCUCUAAUAAAAGGAUGGACAAAUGUCAGUGAUGUCAUGGAGAAAUUACAACCCUCAUACAUUAUUGUUGGAAAUGUAAAAUGGUGUAGACACUUUGAAAAAGUUUGUCGGUUUCUCAAAAAUUUAAACAUAGGGCUAUGUGAUCAAAUACUGAUAGAAAGAAUUUCAUUCCUGAGUAUAUACCCAAGAGAAAUGAAAACAUGUCCACAUAAAAACUUGUAGAUGAAUGUCCAUAGAAGCAUUAUUAAUAAUGGCUCAAAACUGAAACAACAUAAAUUUCCAUCAAUGAUAAAUAAAUAAAUAGAGUUUGGCAUAUCCAUACAAUGGCCUAUUAUUCAGCUGUAAAAAGAAAUUACAUGUUACAACACAAAUGAACCUUGAAAACAUUAUGCUAAAUGAAAGAAGCCAGUCAUAAAAGACUACAUAUUGUAUGAUUCAAUUUAUAUGAAAUAUCUAGAAUAGGUAAAUCUGUGGAGACAAAGCAGAUUGGCGGUUGUUAAGGGUUGGUGGUUAAAGCAGGGGGAUGGCUAUAGGUGGAUGAGGAGUAAAUACUAAUGGGUAUGUUUUGGGGGGAGGGGAUGAAAAUAUUCAAAAGUUUUAUUGUGAUGAUAGUUGCCCAACUCUGUGAAUUUUGUAAAAAAAUCAUUGAGUUGUACACUCUAAAUGCAUAAAUUUUAUAGUAUGUGUUUAUCACAAUUUUUAAAGAAAUAACGUUAUCAAUGAAGGGCAAAUGGAACUCCCAUACCUCAGAGAUGAUACCCUGAGAAAGAUAAAAUAUUACUUUUAUAGUAUUCUGACUAGGGAUGAAAUACUUGAAGUUAGGGGGUUGGAGAUAGAGGUAGCUCAGUGGUAGAGUGCUUGCCUUGCAUGCACAGAGCCCUGGGUUCAAUUUCCGGCAUACCUACCCCCAAAUUUUGAAUCUAUUAGGAGGAAACAGAAAAGAAGUUGCAGAACUUUCUAUAACAUAAUUGGUCAUUAUUCUUUUUUUUUUAAAAGAGAGAGUGAGAGAGAGAGUGAGAAAGAAAGAAUUUUCUUUUAAUAUUUAUGUUUUAGUUUUCGGCGGACACAACAUCUCUGUUUGUAUGUGGUGCUGAGGAUCGAACCUGGGCAGCACGCACGCGAGGCAAACACGCUACCGCUUGAGCCACAUCCCCAGCCCGGUUAUUAUUCUUAAAAAAUUUUAGUGUCAGGACUAAGGAUAUAGCUUGGUGGUAGAGCACUUGCCUGAGAUAAGCAAGGUCCUGGGUUCGAUGUCCAUACUGAGAAAAAACAGAAAGAAAAAAAAAGCAACUCACUGUGAAAAGAAUGCUCUAUGUCUUAGAUUUAAAGAGACUUCUGAUUUUAAGAAGCAUCCUUUAUUUAAAACUUUAAAAUUUUGAGAAAGGAAGGAAGAGCAGCAGAAGAAGAGAACAAAGAAAGAAAAACCGAAAAAGAAAGAAAGAUCACGACAUUGAAUUUGAGGAUCCUACCAAAUGGUGCAUUGUAUAUCAAGAAAAUAUGGCGAUUAACUUCCUUCUGCCAGAAUCAUCUUGUCUUGGUCUAACUGCCUUUCUAACAUGACAAAGGAUUGAAGAACCCUUCUUUCUAAACAUUUCUGUUUUCUUGUACAGAUCCCUAGUCUCCAUCCAAUGUGAAUGGGAGAAUUGGUCAUUGUUAAGAAUUUGGUAAAAUGGACCUACAGACUUCAGCAGGUGGCAGGUAGAACCUGGGCCUUCCCUAGGGCCCGGCUCUUGGGCAGAGCUUCAGUUGCUGCAGGGGUCAGCCGGUGGCUGGAUGGAAGGUGGUGUACCCUGGGCAUGGUGGCCAGGCGGGUCGGCGAGGCCUUCCUGAGCCAAGCGGAAGCUACAGCAGCAAUCUGGCGGGGGCAGGAUGAACUCUGACCUACCCUUUGCCCAGGCUCCCUUGCAAUUCUGGCAAAGUGAAUCUGGCUGGAGUCUCAGCUCUGGCAGGGGUGAGCAGGUGGCUGCAUGGAUCAAGGCCCCUCUAGAACUCCCACGCAGGUGGAAGAGGCUGAUCAGGGCAGAGCGGUGAGCUCCAGAAGAGGUCAGCCAGUGGUGGGAUGGACCCGGGCUUACCCUGAGAACGAGCUCCCUGCAGUUCAGCUGGGCGGAUCAGGCCUGGGCCUGACCUGCGCAAGGGUCUCCAGGUGGCCGGAUGGAAUUUGGCUUACCCUUGCCCAGGCUCCUGAGCAGCUGGCUUGGCUGAUCUGGCAGGAGCCUGAGCUCCGGAAGGUAUUCCCUGUGGGCAGAGGUGGUCGUGGGUCUGGCCUGAGCUCUGUUGGGGGUCAGCCUGUGGCAGGAUGGAGCCAGGCCUACCUUGGGCCAGGCUCCCAUGCCUGACAGAGAGGCUGACCUGGGCUGGGGCUGAACUCUAGCAGGUGUCUUCCAGUAGGCAGAGUCAGUGCAGGGCGGAGCCUGAGCUCUGGCGGGCCACUGACAGUGGGCGGAGUCAUUCCUGGGCUGAGGCGGAGUUCCAGCAGGGGUCAGCCUGAGGCGGGAUGGCCCUGUGACUACCCUCUGCCCAAGCUGGCCUGUAGUUCAGCAGGGCGGAUCAGGCCUGGGCCUGAUCUGCACGGGGUCCCCUGGUGGUGGGAUGGAACUGUGCUUACCCUUGCCCAGGCUUCUGCGCAGCAGGACCUGGCUGAUCAGGUAGGAGCCUGAGCUCAGGUAAAGUAGGCGGAGUCAGUGCAGAGCUGAUCCUGAGCUCUGGUGGGCCACUUACAGGGGGCGGAGUCAUUCCUGGACCCAUCAGGAGCCCCAGCAGGGCUCAGCCUGAGGCAGGAGCUACCUUUGACUACCCUCUGCCGCCUCAUGUCAUCCUGGGAGGUCUGGGCGGAUCUUGAGCUCCCAAGGAUGUUUGCUGAUGAGUGAAAACAGUUUUCCUCUGUUGGAUAUCCCUGAGGACUCCUCAGCACAGGAAGAAUGACAAGGCUGUUGCAACCAGCACGACCAAACUUGACAUUCCAGCUAGGGGUCAGGACAGAGAAUCAGCAGAUCAUGAACACACUCCGGAAACCAGGGAUGCUGUGAUGGUACGCAGAAGCCCACAGGUAUGCUCGGGCUCAGUCCGCCAGCCAAAAACCCUGUGAACAGGAGGACAGUAACGAACCCUAGGUGGUUAACCAAAGGCAGAAUAUUUAGGAAAAGCUCGCUCCACCAGAUUGGUGUUGAUUCUGGAAAGAAGACAAUGAUGACAGCAGCAUGUGGAUGCACAAAUUCAUUUGUCUUGUGUGUUAAGAAUAAAGGGCUUGAACCUGGUGUCCUGUCACAUGGAGGCUGAAGCAGAAGUAUUAUGUGUUCAAAGCCAGCAUCAGCAACUUAGCAAGUCCAUUAGCAAUUCAGUGAGGCUCUGACUCGAAAUAAAAUACAAAAAAAAAAAAAAAGGGCUAGGGAUGGGGCUUGGUGGUUAAGCACCCCAGGGCUCCAUCCCCAAUAAAAUAAAAAUAAAUCAUGUGGUUGAACCCAGAGAGGAAGAUCCCACUGAAAUACAUUCAAAUAGCUAUAUGCAGCAUUCAGAUAUUGUGCUCCUAAAUCUUUGAGCUCUAAGUAAAUAAAACUAUGAAAAUAAAGAAUCAUAUCCUAAUAGGUAAAGUGUAUUCUUUCAGAGAGAGGCCAGUGUUGACCAGCUAUCUACUUUCCUCAUUUCAAUUUCUAUAAAAUCUUACUUCCCGAAGGUAUCAUGAGAGAAAACAAGGUAUAAGGUCAUGUUGCAAAAUUAGGUCACAACAGUAUACAUGUGUGAGAUGUGUGUGUGUGUGUGUGUGUGUGGGUGGGUGGGUGUAUGUGUGUGUGUGUAUUUAAAUUUUUUAUUUGGUACCAGGGAUGGAAAUUCAGAGGCACUCAACCACUGAGCCAUAUCCCAAGCCCUAUUUUGUAUUUUAUUUGGAGACAGGGUCUUGUCUCACUGAGUUGCUUAGUGCCUCACAGUUCCUGAGGCUUGGUGUGAACUUGCAAUCCUCCUGCCUCAAUCCCCCAAGCCACUGGGAUUAUAGGCAUAGGCCAUCAUGCCCAACCCCAAAGUACCAUUUUGGAAAAAUAAAAGAAGUCAGGGAUUUAGCACAAGAGGUAUUCUUCACACAGUGAAUUGUAAACUCUGAAGGGUGGCAACUGGGAACUGAGUGACAGAACUCAAAAGAGAGAUCAGGAAAGACUUGCAUAGAUAAAACACUUGAUAAUGUCACAAAGGUCACAUUUCUAUUUUUUGGAGAAAGGCAUAUGAUUCUGUAAAAGGUAGUGGGAACAUUGUGAAGAUGCCUAAUGAUGUAGUUAAGAACAUGAAAUCCAAUCCCUAUCUCAAUCUUUCCAUCCAAAAAAAACUCCAGAUGCUCUGAUACACUAAAUGUAUAAAUCAUCAAAGUCCAGGAACAAAAUAAAUGAAUGUUUACACAAUGGAGGAGGAUUUCUAAACCUCAAUGUGGAAAGCAAGAAGGCAAAGUUGGUCACUAAUGCGAGUUUUGUAUGUAUAUGGAAGUGUAGUGUGUGUGGACAUGUCCACACAUACACCAGCACACAUUGCUCUUGUAGUUUGGUGGUGUUAAAAUAAAUCUUUGAAAUAAUCCAAUUCAUACAGACAGGAAGUAGAACGGUGCUUACUGGGAUGAGUUACAGGGAAAAGUGGCAAGAGAGUAUUUAAUGAGGACAGGUUGAAUUUGUGAGUAGAAAAGUCCUGGGGAUGGACAAAUGAUAGUGAUGGCUGUAUCAUAAUGAGAUUCUCUUUGGUGCCAUAGAACCAUACUCCUUUUUAAAAAGUUAACAUGUUAAAUGUCUCAUAUCGUGAACUUGUACAACUGCAACUGUGUUAAUUCUGUUUUUAAAAUACCACAUAUAUUCUUUUUUUUAAAGAUUUUUUUUCUUAGUUGUUGAUAGAUCUUUAUUUUAUUUAUUUAUCAAAGGUGCUCAGAAAGGAACACAGGGCCUUGGACCUGCCAGACAAAUGUGCUUCGGCUGAGCUGCAGUCCCAGCCCACGUGGUAACUUCCUAAAAAAAAGUGUCUGAGAUAUAAUGACACAGGAAUAUGUUUACAGAUAUGUAAAUGUAUUUUUAAGAAAUAAAAGACCAGAGGGGAUAGGGUUGUAGCUCAGUGGUAGAGUGCUUGGCUAGCAUAGGAGAGGCUCUGGGUUUGAUCCUCAGCACCACAUCAAAAUAAAUAAAUAAAAUAAAGGAAUUGGGUCCAAAUACAUCCCCCAUUGCCCCCCCAAAUAACCUUUAAAAAUAUAUAAAAAUCAUAUAACAUGAUUGCAAUGGACCACAUCAGGGUAUAAUAAAAAACUUUGCCACAGUAACAAUGAAUGACUUAUUUAAAUUGAAAUUCUUGGGGUAAAGAUAGGCAUGCACUUUAAAUUUUGGCAUAUUUUCUGAAACUUCUCUGCAGAAUAGGUAUGACAAUUUGUAUUGCAAUUAUCAGAACUUGAAAAUUCCAUUUUCCAACACGGUUAACAUUAGAUUUUCUCACUAUCUUGAUUCCUUGUAUUUGAUAGGAAAACACACACAUGUACUUUAUGUUUCCUUUGGAUUCCUCUACUGUGAUUUGGAUUACUAAAUUUUUGGUAUGUCAUCUUUUAUAAACAGCAGAUACUGGGUUUUACCACUUUUGUAGGCUCUUUGUUUCUCCCUAUUGACUUGUAGGAGGUCCCUAUGUUAUUAAGCUCUCAGAAGCAGGGCAGAUACCCACAGAAACAUCCCCCCAAAACUGUUUUCUAGCAAUUGGCCACAGUUUUGCCUCUUGCAGAGAGCUCUUUGCCAGCUUGACCUGAGAACUUCCCAUUACUCUGGCCUCUCAAAACUUGCACAGCCUCCCAAUCACCUUGCCCUGUGGACCAAGCCUUGAACAUAGGUUGCCUUGAGAAUCUUCAACAUCUCAACCAUAGAUACCCUUCACUAAGUGCAGUGAAUCAUGUAAGCUCUGUUCCCAGGGGAGAGAAAGUCCAUACUGCUGUGACAGUUUCCUAUGAAUAGGUGUCUGCAACUAUGCGUAUUUCAAUAUUCACUAUUAUGUGGUCAAAUGGAAAUCCUGGAGAAAGUUAUGGAGAUUUUGUUGAAUGGUUUUCAUUAACUCAGAAAGGAAAGAUAGGAAAUAAAAAUAAUUACUAAAAUUUAAUCAUUCGUUAAUAAAUAAUAAAUUUAAUUAUUAAAUAAUUAUUGAAGUUUCAUAAAGGGAAGUAUUGAGAAGUCUAUAAAAAAUGACUUCAUUCCAAAACUGCCUUUGUGAAGAUGAAGAGUGGCCAUAGUAUUUCUAGCACUAAGACAAAUUCGCCACUGGGAUGUAAUUGAGAGAGGGCUUCUUUCCACUUGAUAUAUUUUGUAUGAAUAUUCACUGACCUGUGUUGUUUGGUUUUCUGGCAUUCCCUCUUAUUUGGAUUCAGACUUGCCCAGGGCUACCCUGCAAUAGGCCAUAUUCAUACCAGAAAGACAGAUUACUAAACCCCAGUUAGGAUAUAUAAGUGAUACAGAUAUCUUUCAGUUCAUAAGAUUCUCAUUUUAUCUGUAGACACUAAAAACUGUUGAACCAUCUCUAGGAAAUUUCCAGUUUCCAGGAAAGGAAGAUGCAGUCCUUCCUCUCAUUCUGUCUGUCUCCCUGGCUGUGGAGUCUGGAUGUGUUCAGGGGCUUUUCAAAUAUUUGACAAGGGCCCAAAUUCCCAUGAUUGUUCAAAGCAAAGGCCUUAUAGGAAUUGUGCCCUGUUCUCCUUAACCAUGCAAGGAUACUCCUAGGAAAUUUGUAUCAGCAUAAAGGGACAGUUAUGAAAAGAGUGUGAAGUGAUAGAUUCUUUAUUCAUUGGUAAAUUUUUCUAUGAUUUUGAUUCUCUUUUAUAUCAAGUGGAACUUACCUGAACUGUCAGUUAAAAAUGAGAAACAAUGCCACUAAAGCCUAGAGUAGUCAGCUCUUUGCUGCUCUGAAGACAAGAUCUGAUCAGAACGAUUUAAGGGGAGGAAAAAAGUUUCUUUGGGGGCUCACACGUUCAGAGGUCUCAGGCCAUUGAGAGCAGACUCCAUUCUUUGCAACCUCAGAAGAGGCUGAACAUCAUGGCAGGAGAGUGUGGCAGAGGGAAGUAGCUGACAUGAUCAUCAAGAAGCCAAGAAAGAGAUUUCCACUUUCCACCUACAGGUACACAGCCCACAGCCUUGACCCCCAAGACAGACCCUCUCCACCUGAACCCCACCUGCCUUCAGUUACCAGCCAACUGAUCCCAGCAGGUGAGGAGUUCACAGAUUGGGUGAAGGCUCUUGACACCCUAUUAACUUCUACUAUCCAAAGAUUCAAAGGAAUAUUAACAAGAAGAGAAAACAGCCUCCUCCACCCAACACUACACAGCAUGGUUGGAAAAUAUCCAACAGAACCACAAAAGGCUCUAAGGAUGUAUCCCAAGAGUUGUGACUGGAUGAAUAUGCUACAAAGAAGCCACCUUUGUCAAUACCUGCCAUGGCCACUCAGUCAAAUGAGAACAACUAAGAUAUUCCUGCACCAUCUCUUCCUAAUUUUCUCAAAGAAACAUCAAAUGGUACAAAUGCUAAACAGAGGAAAGGGAGAAAAGGCAGAUCCAAGGACCAGCUCUCUUUUGUCAUCAACUCUGGGUGGCCCAGCUCCCAUGGAAUUUGACUUGCCUGCUGAACAACCAGUAUUAGGCCACCUAAUUUGAUAUUCAGCCAGGGCCUGCCUCAGAAAGGUACUACAGAGCAAAUACAGGUGCAGGUUCUCCUUUGAUUUCAUGCCCUGGAAUAAUUGUGAGUAUCCUUUCUUCCUCAAGAAGAGGCAGAUAAUAGCCCACCCUCGGUGGACAGCUAACCCUGGAUACCAUACGUGGUAACAGAAAAAAAAAAGAAAGAAAAGAAAAGAACAACAAAAAGGCUUACUGAACUUUGAUCCCUUCAGAUGAUCCAAUUUUCUGCAACCCAUACAAGGGAUCAUGCCAAGGACAUGGACUUUGCAGAUAUUCACUGUCCCCAAACCUCUCAACAUGCACUCCACUCCAAAAUCCUCUCACCCUGGUUUGGAUUCUUGUCAGGAAAAUGCCUGGGUGUGUAAACCCAUGCUGCGGGGAAAUGACUGCAGAGCAGGGGAAAGUCCGGCACUCAGAGUGGAAGCCUCCAGCAUCCAUCCACUUCCAAGUCAAAGGCCUGGAGAUUCUAGGUUCUGGUAGGAGAUUGCACUUGUUUGUGUCCCCUGUGGGUCUCUCUGGGCCUUGCGCACCAAGGGUCCCGCUUGGUGCUGCUGUGCCCUCCUGGCCGCUCUCCAAAUAUCUUCCAGUGUCAGGGACAGGUGGACUGCCCGCGUAUUGACGUCAGCGUGCACGGGUCAGCAGAGGAGCUUUCAUUCCUGGCGGCAUCCCAGGAAGAUCCAACCCAAGCAGCAGCUCAGCGGUCAUGUUAGGAGGGGAGACCUUGGCACGGAACCCCAAGAAGGCAUGUUCUUUUCAACGCAUGCGGCCCCAACUUCUUCAGCCCCUGGAAGUGGAGCAUGGUUCUCCUGGUGGCCUGUCCAAGGUGCCCUCAGGGCAAUCCUGCUCCUUCCAGUGCCCUGGACCCAGCAGCUGUCACUGGCCUGCUGGCACGACCCUGCAGUACCGCUAGGCGGCGCCAUCCGCGGUUAGUCGCACCAGGCAGGCAGAGCGCCCUGCAAACCCUUAUCCCAGAGCCAGCACUGGGGGCUCCACAGGUGCAGCGAACCUGGGAGGGCUGGAGGGCUGGUGAGCACCAGGAGGACGCAAGGAUCAUCCCAGGUAGCACCAGCUCCAGCAGCCUUGCUCUCCUGUCCUGUUCCUCCAGGGCCUGACUCCACUGACAGUUGGCCCAGUCAGCGAACUGUCUUAGGUUCCUGGCGGCCCCAGGGAGCCGCUGCUGGGGACAGCUGAGGGCAAUUGUGCAUCCAAGGCAGCUCGGCAGGUUGGGGGAUCUUGGAGCUCAAGAACAUGCCACUAACUCUGUCUGGCUGCCCUUCCGUUCCUAGAAAACCAAUCUAGGAGAUUGAGAUCGCUGCACCCCGGGCAGAAUGUAGGUUAAGGGCAGGUGCAGGUGGGCCCCUUGUUUUCUAGGGAGGGCAGCAAGGGAGGGAGUCCCUGAACAUGGGUGUCAGAGGGAAGGAACAAGAGAGCAAGGGAGCUUCCAGCGCAGUGCACCAUCUGCACCAGCCACGCCCCACUAUGGCGACAGCGGCUGUAGCACCUUCAGCAGUAGCUGCUGCUGCUGCUGCUGCCAGGCACCAGGUCCAGUCCACAAAUACUUUGGGCCUGAAAGUCCAACAGUCCUUUCAAUUGUCCUGCAGAGGCAGAAAUAUCUAGUCAGUAGGGCUGAACCUGAGGGUUCUUCCUCUUGGCCUGCCUCUUGGCUCUCAGACAUAAAGCCCUCUGAGACAAUGCCGGGGGUUCUUGGGGCAACCCCUGGGUGAAGAGAUUGCACCAGAGUGUCACAGCCCCUGCCAAAAAGAUGCUUCACAAAGGUCUGUGGCAUGAGCGCAACAAGUGACCUGUAGGAACCUGAUCAUCAGGCUCAACCAUGGCUUCCCGUCGAUUUCACACAUCAGCCUUGAUAGAGGAGUGGAAAUGUAGACGUUUCUAAAGUUGGAUAUUAAAAAUGGGGAGAGCUCAACAUUUUUCUGUGGAGCCCUGAAUCCAGAAAGGAGUCGGGAAUGAGAGGAUGGUAUUUAUUUCACAGACACUGAAAGAAGUCGGUAUUGAUUUGCCUCUGACAAAUACCAGUAGCGUCAUCAGCUUCAAUAUACCAUCAGCAAGAAGUACAGGCAGAAGAUUCUGAAGCAAAAAUCAUAACAGAAAAGACAUUAACUUCCAUAGAAUAUAAGGCUCUCGCAAGUUCUGAGCCAUUCCUUCUUGAUUGCAGUGAAGAGCAGAUCACACAUGUGCUAAUGUUGCUUUUCUGGGAGAAGAUGUAAGAGGGAAGACUUUUCUGGAAGAAUAGGACCUUCGCCUAACUUCCAAAUCAGAAAUCAACCAUUCUAUGAGUCAGCUUUUCAUCAUUUGAAUGAAAUACCUGAGGCAACUGACAUAUGAAGACAAAAUGUUUAUCUUAUGAUCUUCUAACCCAAGCACUAAGGAUCCUUUGUUUUGCUCCUGUAGAAAGGGAAGCACAACAUGAUGUAAGCACAUGGCAGAGCAAGCUGCUCUCCUCAUGAGCUAGGAAGCCCUGGAGCACAGGCCGGGCCUACAAUCUCCUCUGGGGGAAAUGAACAGUGACCUGAGAACUUCCCAUUACCCUGACCUCUCCAGACUUGCACCGCCUCCAAAUCACACUGCCCUGUUGAUCAAGCCUGUAACAUAUGUGCCUGGAGAGUCUUCAACAUCCCAACCAAACAAAGCUACCCUUCACUGAGUGCAGUUAAUCAUGAAGCCCUGUUCCUAGGGGAGAGAAAGUAAAUACCAUGGUGACAGUUUCCUACUCAUAGGUGUCUUCAACUCUAUGUACUUCAAUAUUCACUAUUAUGUUGUCAAAUGGAAAUCCUGGAGAAAGUUCUGGAGAUUUUUGUGAAAUUCUUUUCAUGAACUCAGAAAAGAAAGAUAGGACAUAAAAAUAAUUAUCAAAUUUAAUCAUUAAUUAAUAAUUAAAUGAACUUACUUAUUAAAUAAUUAUUAAAGCUUCAUAUAGAGAAUUUCAGAGAAGACUAUAAAAAAUUAGUGAAUUCCACAACUGCCUUCAUUAAGAUGAAGAACAGCGGUAGUUCUUCUAGAACGAAGACAAAUUUGCAACUGUGAUGCCAUAUGAAGAGGACUUCUUUUCACUUGAUAUGUUUUGUAUUAAUAUUCACUGUCCUGUGUUACUUUGUUACCUGGCAUUCCCUCUUAUUUGGAUUCAGACUUGCCCAAUGCUACCCUAGAGUAGGAAAUAUUCAUACCAGAAAUACAAAUCAAUAAACUCCAGGAAGUACAUGCAAAGGAUCCACAUAUCUUUCAGUUCAUAAGAUUUUCAUUUUAUCUACAGACAUGAACAAUCAUUGAAAUAUUUCUAUGAAAGUUCAUCUUUCCAGGGAAGGAAGAUGCAGUCCUUCCUGUGAUUGUCUGUCUCCCUACCUGUGGAGUCUGUGCCUGUUCGGGGGAUUUUCAAAUAUUUGACAAGGGCCAGAAUUCCUUUGAUUGUUUAAAGCCAAGUCAUUAUUCUAAGUGUGCCCAGUUUUCAAUAACCAUAUAAUAAUUCUCCUAGGAAAUUUGUAUCAUCAUAAAGGGACAGUUAUCAAAAGAGUGAUAAAUACUUUCUUAUUUGGUAAAUUUUUCUAUAAUUUUUUUCUUUAGUAUUAAAUUGAGCUUACCAAAACUGGAAGUUAAAAAUGAGUAACAAUACUAGUGAAGCCUAGAUUUGUCAGCUUUUUCACUACAGUGAAGACCCAAUCUGAUCAGAAUUAUCUUAGGGGAGCAAAGUUUAUUUGGGGGCUCAUGAGUUCAGAGGUCUCAGUCCAUAGAGAGCAGGCUCCAUUCUUUGGAACCUCAGGUGAGGCAGAACAUCAUGGCAGAAGAGUGUGGCAGAGGGAAGUAGCUGACAGAAUGAUCAAGGCAUGAAAUCAAUGCACUCCACUCAAAAAUCAUCUCACCCUAGUUUCAAUUCUUGUGAAGGAAGUGCUGAAGUAUUUGAACAAUACUCCCGUGAAAUGACUGCAGAGCAGGGGAAAGUCCGGCACACAGAAAGGAAGUGUCUCACAUCCAUCCACUUCGGAGUCAAAGGCCUGGAAAUCCUAGGCUCUGGCAGAAGAGUGCACUGGUUUGUGUUCUCCAUGGGACUUUCUGGGCUUUGCGUGCCAAGGGGUCCCCUUGGUGGCUGGUAUGCCAUCCUGGCUGCUCUUCAGAUACUUGCGGGUGUCACAGGACAGGCGGACUGACAGCCCAAUGACGUCACCACGUGCCAGUCAUCCUAGGGGCUUCCUGACCUGGUGGCAUCCCAGGAAGAUCCAACACAAGCGGCAGCUCAGUGGUCACGUUAGGAGGGGAGACCUUGGGACCGAACCCCUUGAGGGCAUGUUCUUUUCAACACAAGCGGCCCCAACUCCUUCAGCCCCUGCAAUUGCAGAGUGGUUCUGCUGGUGCCCUGUCUAAUGUGCCCUCUGGGCACUCCUGCUCCUUCCAGGGCCCUGGACCCAGCUGUCACUAACCUGCCAGCACCCUGCAGUACCGCUAGGCGGCGCUGCCUGCAGUUGGUCGCACCAGGCAGGCCUAGUGCCAGAACACCCUGCCUCCUGGCGCCAGCCCACUGUGGACUCUGCAGGUGCAGCGAACCUGGGAGGGCUGGAGGGCUGGCGAGCACUAGGAGGACGCGAGGACCAACACGGGUAGCACCAGCCCCAGCGGCAUUGCCCUCCCAUCCUGCUCCUCCAGGUCCUGGCCCCGCUGAAAGUUGGCCCAGUCAGUGAAUUUGCCUGGGUUCCCAGCAGCCCUAGGGAGUGGCCACUGUGGACACAUGAGGGCAGUGGAGCAUCCAAAGCAGCUGGGCGGGUUAUGGGAACUUUGAGCUCCACCACCUCCUACCACCAGGUGCCCCUCCAUUCCUAGAAAGCCAGUUCUGGAGAUCAUUGCAACCUGGGCAGAAUGAAGGCUAAGGGCAGGUGGGUGGAUCUGUUGCUUUUUAGUGAGGGCAGCAGGGAGAGAGUACCUGAACAUGGGCGACAGAGGGAAGGAGCAAGAGAGCAAGGGAGCUUCCAGCAUGGUGCACCCUCUGCACCAGCCAGGCCCACUUUGGCGGCUGCAGCUGCCAAAGUAUUGUUCAAAUACUUCACAUCAUUCACCUCUGAACAUUCCUCCAUUAACUCAAAUGAGCUUUUCAGGCACACCUAAUCUCCAAACCACCACAUGCCACGCCAUAAAAAAGGUUAUGUCCAUCUCAUUAAGAGUCCUCCUAAUCUUAACAGUUUUGGCAACAGGUUGCAGUCAGCCAGGGUCAGCUUGCUGCUAUGUAGAAAUGGCACCUAGGAGAUGCCUUGAUCUUCAGAUCUGGUCUUCUGGAAGGAGAGAUGCCAAGUCAUUGUCUAAAACUUUCAGAACUUUUAGGAACCCCUUCUGGAGAGAUGAUCACUGAAGUGCUGAGUUUUAAUUCUGAAGGAAACUUGGCAAAUAUGACCAGCCCAGCUGUGUUACACUCAGAGUUCCAAGCUGCCAGUUUUGGGUACUUGGAAGGGCACGGCACAGCCUCCAGAAAUUGUUCAGUCUCAUAGGUAUGCAUGUGCACUCCUGUGCCAUACACCCCGAAUGGGAGCAGCUCUUCUAGGCACAGCUUUUGCACUUGGUUGGUUGGUGUCAGAGGUGGUGAUGUGGAAGGUGAGACUCCCUUUAGCCAGAGCAUUGUUGUCUGGAAAAAGGAGAGGUUUGGCCCCAUCAAUGCCAGUUUUAACAAUUCAACAUGGUUAUUCUACAGGUGUGGUUGUGUUAGGGACCAAAUAUUCACAAUUGCUGAAGGAGAUAGAAGGGGCUGUGGCGAGGGCCAGGGGAAUUCUGUCCUGCAAAUCCAGAGCUGUCUGCCCCUUAAUCACCACACAAGCCCAAUUAGACCAUCUCCCUGAAGACUGGACCUCUCCACCUGAUCAGAGCACACCACACUCUGCUUCUCCAGCUCUGUCUAAACUCAGACAUUUUCUGGAAAAGGAAGUCAUAUUUAGAAACUUGUUAUCUUUCCAACAUACAUAAUACAUUUAAAAUUGUGGCAUGGACAGGAAAGUCAAUUGUCUCAUCAAUGUAUCGGACAGGACAACACAGACAAAAAGCACUAAAGUACUUGCACUAUUUAUUUUUGUGUAAUUUUAAAGCAAGGCUGGAGUUGUGGCUCAGUGGUGGAGCACUUGCCUAGCACAUGUGAGGCCCUGGGUUCGAUCCUCAACACCACAUAAAAAUAAAUGAAUAAAAUAAAGGUAUUGUGUCCAACUACAACUAAAAAAUAAAAACAUAAAAUUUAAAGCAAUGAAUUGUUCAAUUUUCUUUAAAAGUAGUCCAUGAUUUUAUAUAUCUUAAUUUUUCAAAAAUUUGUGGCUCAGUAUCUUUGGAUGCUCCAAGUGGCUAGUGACUUUCUGGCAUUCUGCAUGAAUGCCAAGUUCAAACAACAGUUUUAGAUAAAUUCAGAUACUUACACUCCAAAUCUAUGCCAACAUAUGCAUUUAAGAGUACAUUUAAUGGGGCUGGGGUUGUGGCUUAGCCUUAGAGCACGCACCUAGCAAGUGGAAGGUCUUGGGUUCGAUCCUCAGCACCACAUAAAAAUAAAUGAAAUAAAAGUAUUGUGUCCAACUACAACUAAAAAAUAAAUAUUUUUUUAAAAGAGUACAUUUAAUGAAUGUUCACAACACAAAAAUUGAUAAACUGAGUACAUAUGUUCAAACAUCUCACUGUAUGUAAUAAAUAUGUAUAAUUAUUUUGUGUCGAUUUUUAAAUGUUUCCAAAAAAGAAAAUAAAGGGAUAAAAUUAUAAAAGUACUUUCAGUACUCUCAACAAACCCUGUAAAGCAAAGGGGAAAAAAUGAGUUCUCUAGCUGGGGAUGUAGCUCAGUAGUAGAGUGCUUGCCUAGCAUGCAAAAGCCCCUGGAUUUAACACCCAGUACUACAAGGGGGUUGGCAUGGCAGGGGGCUCAUUGUCUCUAAUUCUUUCCUCCUCAAACACAGAGUUUUUGACCUUUAUUCUAUUUAGUAAAUUGAUAUUCUCUUUAAUAUCACAUAUUAAGCCAAAUUGCAUGUGUGGGUAGGCAUAUUUCCAGGGAGCAUACACCAACAGGAAAUCCCUCCUCUGGAAUUCCUUCCUACUGCACUUCCCCAACUAAUGGGAACUCUCCAGGUGUCCCUUAGCAGGCUGAGGUGGACAGCAGGUGUCUAAUAUCCAUUUGAAUGCAGAUCUUAACAUAAUCAUAUCAUCUCAAUGGCUUGCUGGCAUCACCUUUCAACCAAAAAUGCCAUGCAUCAUUACUACUUGGCUAUGGCUCUUAGAAAACACUGCUCAGCUUAGCUGAGCAUCAUGGCCCCUCCCUCACCUCUCAGCCCCCAGAGAUUCUCCUCCAAACCCUGGUGACCCAUGGGGGCUCAUAGAUUCUAUCUUCAUCAUUCAUCUUCAUCUGUCAACUUCCUGCUGUCACCUCUACCAACUCCCCUGCUCUCCCAACAUCUCUCACCUGGGCAGCUGCAAGGGCCUUGGGGUUCUCCCUGUGUCUCUCUUCAUAGUGGCCAAGAUCUCCAGCACAGACUCUCUCUCUCCUAGAUCAAAACUCCUGGAAGGUGCCCUACUGUACUUAAGAUAGAGUCCCACUCACUGAGGCAGGCUACCUGGGCCUUGCCCACCUCCCCAUCAUUCUCCUGUACCCUUCUCUCUAUCCCCUGCACAGUUCAGCCUUCUCACACUCAGGGGACUUUUGCCCCACAUUACCUCUCAUCCCCAGUCUGCAAAUAGGGAUAAACAUACCCCCACUCCAUAGGGAGCUUAUAGAUGUAUAAUAGGCCAUCUGUACAUGUCUCAGGGCAGAAUGCGCACCAUGAGCAUAGCCCUCCAUGCAUCUGCCAUUACAGAUGGAGCUUAAAAUGUUUGCUCAAUGAAUGAGUUAAAGAGCCACUGCAAGGCUCACACAGGCACCACAGGGGAGAAGCUACUUCCACACAAUGCUGGAGAAGAAGGCAAAGCAGAGAAGCCAGCAACAGCUGCAAAACUCAGAUCAGCAGUGGAAGUCCACAGUACUGGCGAUCAACCCUCCAGUAGGCCAUCACCCAUUGCUCCUCUCCUCAGUCCCCACCUCAACCCAGGCACUUGGUGGGUCCCACACUCAAUGUCCUCAGUUGCCCCCCCACACUCUUCAUUCCAAAAUAGGAGAAAGACAAAAGAAGGAGCUAGCCUUUAAUGACAGCAACAACAGUCACUAAGACAGCUACUAGGAGACAGGCGGUGUUCUAAAUGGCUGGCAUGCAAUUAAUCAUCCAUUCUGCUUCCUCAGCAACCCUCCCAAUAUAGUAUGAGUGUUAUUAUCUUUUUAUACAUGAAUUGCUUUGCAGUGAUAUUAAUCCUGCAAAUACUAGCUACUUUUCAAGAUAAAAUAUCAAAUUUGUAAGGAACAUGUGGGAAAGGUGGUGGCCCACCCCAACAAGGUGGUAAGCCAACCUUCUUCUUUUGAUAUAUUUACUUUCCUGGUGGGAUUUGAGUUGUUUGUGUGUGUGUGUGUGUGUGUGUGUGUGUGUGUAGGGGAUUGAACCUGGUGGCAUUUAACCAUGGAGUCACAUCCCCAGCCCUUUCUUUUUCUUUUUAUUUUGAGACAGAGAGUUUCAAUAGGUUGCCUAGAGUCUCACUAAAUUGCUGAAGCUGGUUUUGAACCUGUGAUCCUCCUUUCUUAGCCUCCUGAGUCACAGGGAUUACAGGCAUGAAACACCAUGCCCAGCAUGGGAUAGGAUCUUGAGGAGAUAAUUUCAAAAUAAUGUUAAUGAAUUUAGGCUCUCUGAAAUCCCAAAGUAGAACCCUAUGUACCCUCAGGACACUGAGAGAGCAAUUACCACAUUCAAUAUUACAUCGAAACAGUGAGCUGUUCACAGAAACUGCUAAACAUCCACCAUCAUACCCAGAACAAGUAUUUUCUGCUCCCUUCUGUGGAUGCUCCAGGUCUGAUGCCUAGAUAGCAACUCACACUCCUCUGUGGAAGGCACUUCCAUUACAUGAGGGUGACACCAAGGGCAAAGUCAGAGUAAGGCCAUCAUAAAUCUCUCUUCUCCAUAAAAGUCACAAGGGAACUGGCAAACACUGUCAAAAUCAACUUUUCCUGGGCUCUGAAGAUGCACCAAACAUUUGUAUGAUUGGAAUAGCAUUUAUACAAGAAAGAGAGGGACAGAUCCUAGUAAAAAAAAUGGAGACCAUUGUGACAUUUUAACUUGACCUAGGCCACUCCCCCACUUUCUAGCUCCACAAUGGCUUUGAAAUAUGAUACCACCUUCCCAGUAAAAACCACCAUUGUGGGCACCAUAGGAAAGAAAACCCCACUGGAGACUUUUUGCACACUCAUCCCCAAACCAUCCAUGGUACAGAACUUGUCUGUGGGUUUCCUGGAAGACACCACUUGCAAGGCUGUAUGUGACCUGGCUCUGGGCUCAUCUUUUCUAUAGAGAUGUUUGUCAAAAGCAGCUACAGGUGACUGUUUACCUACAUAGCUCUCUGAGGCAGUGGAGAGCAUGUUCAUCAAAAAGCUUAAAGGGAAAAGAUGGAUAAGGAAAUCACCACAGGGCUUUGGAAGACUAUGACAUGUUCCUGGGAAUGCAUAUGAGUAUGGCCAUGCUUGUCCAUAGAAAUGUGAACAUGCCCAGAGUGUGCCCACACCCAGGAAGGACCAGCAGGCACUGAGCUCCACCCCCAGCUGACUCUGUCUCUGUGAAUGCAAAAAAUCAAAGUGAAGGCAAGUGCCAGGAGCCUGAGUAAGUCCCAUGGGCUGCCAGCAAGCUGACCUAUCAAAUGGAACGCUACUGAUUCAUCAGACUGAACUGAUAUAUACUAUAUAUAAUGGUUGGAUGAGUGAAUGGAUGAGUGAAUGGAUCCAUGAAUGUAUCAAUGGAUGGAUAGAUAGAUGGGUGAAUGGAUGGAAGGAAGAAUGGAUGAAUGAAUGGGCGGAUGGAUGAACAGUUUGGAAAGGAAAGAGAGAGGAGGUGAGAAAGGUGGAAGAGUAUAGCAAGAAGGAGAUGAGGAGGAAGAGAAGGAGAGAAGGGAAGAGGAAAGGGAGACAAAGGACAAGGAGGUAUGGUCUUAAAGAGAUAGAGGAAGAGAAAUAGAGAAACAAAGAGACAGAUAUACAGAGAAAGAGCAGUGGAGUGUGAUUAAAUGAGAAAGGACAAAGGGAUCUGUACAAAUUGGAGGGGCAAAUUCAGAGAGCUAGCAGACCUACCAGAGGAGGCAGACCAACUGGGUUUGCAUGCAUAAAGACAGAAAGAGGCAUCAAGGAAGAGCCAAGAAGGAGACUCAGACCUUGCAAGCCAGAAGACUUCUGAUCUAGACAAACCAAGAGGCCAGUGUACCCGGUGCUCAGAUGUCCCAGUUCAGCCCGUUGACUGCUGCAUCCUGCAACUAUUAGGCUGAAGUUGCUGAGCUGGGCCCAGUGUGUGGAGCAGCUCCUGACAGAGCAGAGACACAGGGCAGAGUGCCCCUCAGUCCAGGGAGGUCCAGCAAGAACUUUACACUCGUGUCCACUGAUGUAUCCUGGUGGGAAGCACUUUAUCUAAAAAGCUAAUUGUUAAGCAAACAUUCAAGGUACUGCUGGGUACGCAAGUGAAAAUGAUCAGGACAAAGUGCACAUAUGCACACCUAGGACUGUGGGUACCGCUUAUGUCACAUGGGUUUUAUUAACAUAAUUCUAAGAACAAGUCUGAGGAAGAAGUCAGAGUUCCGAUUUUUUAGAUGAGAGGCACAAAAUUUUACACAAAGGCACAAAAAUCUCAGUUAAUAUCAAAACACUGAGUGCUGCAUCUGCUACCAAUGCCCACAGCCUGGGGGCUCCUCACCCCUGUGCAGUUCUGCUUAUUAGGAAAAACCAACAUCAACACCUGAAAUGUGUUAAGACACUGAGCCAGGAGGGAUGUGAGUCUUUGCAUCUCAUUAACCUUCAGAGAAGGUCUUUCUCAACUAAUCUCAACUCUCCAUUAUUUUUCCAUAUCACUUUAGUUAAUCAGUGUCUGUAGGCAGGAGGAGAAAGGAGUAUUUCCAUUUUCUUUUUUAUGAAAGUUUAUAUUUAACAGAUUUUCACAAUGCGAAAAAAAAUAUUUUGAAAACAAAUUAUUUGCCUGCUUCAAUUUCCUCACAGCUUAAGUAAAGGAACAGAAAAAAGGUUUCACUCUGUGUUAGGCAAGGAGUGGUGGUCAGAGAGAAGGAAAUGAGUUGGGGACAUGAAGCGCUGGAUUUGCAUCUGUCCCUGUGACCUCUGACUUGCAUCUGAGAUGCUUCUCCAAGCCCCCAAGCACUGGCUGGGCACCGAGGCACCUGCAGGGGCUGUAGCUUGAACUAAGUGGGAAAAAUCAAUAGGAAGAACUCGCAGGGACAAAUGCAGUCCUGCAACCCCACACCUAGGGAAGAGGCCCAAGAACACACACACUAACAUGGCUUCCCUGGGGAUUCUUAGCCCACCACAGGACAGGAACCACCAGCUAAGACAUCUAGAGCUUCAAGAAGACACCAUGAGUGACUCCCACUGGGCAUCCUGAAAACCCUAGAUGCCAUCAAGGAAAGCAGUCUUGCAUUCACUGGAAAGGGGGCCUGAGGUGUCCAGGGGGACUCACUAAACUGAUAGAUGGAUAAGGAGGGUUGGUGAAGGGACAACUAAUAUCACUUUAAUGUCACACCAAUAUGUACAUGAACACAAAACCAUGCCUGGUAACAUGUCAGUCAGCACGCAGCCUGGGGCAAAACACCUGAACUCUGAUCAGAAAAUGCCUAAGAUAACAAUUACUAACCAAUAAAAGGUGGGUGACAACUGGGAUAUUUUUAAAAAGAUUUUAAGAAUACCAGUAUCAUAAAUGGAAAGAGCUGGGCCACCCCUGGGGUUGAGAAGAGUCACCAGGGCCAAGGGCACAGCACAUUCCCUGCUCAGGCUGAGGUCCAGCCCUCACUGGAGGUGUGGCUGGGCCCUCCAGAUGCUGCAGAAGGUGGCCAGAGGUGAUCCCUGAAUAGUGAGCAUCAUGGAGCUUUGUGUGCUUCUGGGAGCUGUGUGGAGAGAGUGCAGGAAAUGAGGACAGAAGCCCAUGCCCUCCAUGCAGUGCCCUGUCCCACAGUGGCUUGUGCUAGAAGAUACCAAACCACCUACCACCUCUGCACAUGGCCUGCUGAGUGCACCUGAAGUCCAGGAAGCUGUACCUAGAACUGAACAUCAUAGCCCAUGAUGCUGUUAAUAGUGUUUGUUUUCUCUCUUCCUCAUGUCCCAACUCCAUGAUUGACAAGCAACUAGCAUAUUUGAAAGGGUUUGCUAAAUGGUAACAAUAUUUAAUUUUAGCAGAAUGUGAAUUUUUAAAGGACAACAUGAAAAGAGAGGUGUUAAAUAGUGUGCUUAACCUCACACCAUCAGCUAGCAAUGAAUUAAAAAAUAAGAUUUCCCUCCAGGGCUUGAGCAUCAGAGCUUCCAUCAUACCUGGGUUUCCCAUGGGUCCUUCAGACCAAGGCAACAGCAGGAUUGGGAUGCCUAGAGGGCCCUGAAGAAGCUUGUGCCAUGUUCCUGUAGAGCAGAGGCCACCAAGGCUUUCCUGGGGAGGUGUCCCAUGUUCUCCAUUGCUCUCCUCCUGUGGGCACUGGCAUAACUGCCUCUUCCUGAGGAGGUGGUCCCUGUUCUAUACUCUUCUCCUUCUGUGGGCACCAGCACAACUGCCUUCUAUUCAUAAGGCCCUGGAAGUAACAGCUUCUCAAAAAGCCACUGGACUCACAUGGCAGGAUCUGAGGGGAGCUGGUUCCUGGGACCUUGGAGAGUGGAUGGUUAGCAGAGCUAGGGCCACUCCCUGAGAACUCUGAGCGUACUUAACAGCAGAGCUGAGCUGAUGGACACCUGUGGCUGCCCCACACUCUGUCUGUUAACACACAAGCAUAAUCUAACUCCGUGGUGACAAACAACAUAACACAAUAGCCACAGAGUCAGCUUUGUGAAAUGACACUCCAAAACUGUAGCAGAUGUCAAGUAAUUGACUCUCAGAAACCUUCUUGGGGGCAACCAUUUCCUACUGCCUGAAGGCCACUUUGAAAGGGGCCUCAGAUGGCAAAAAUGCAGCUGAUUGUCAAUACUUUUAUUUCUAAUUCAUGAUGCAAUCCAGAACCCCCAAGUGAUUUCCUCACAGGGUAACAUGUGAGAAGCCACAAGCUGCACUACAGGAAGACAUGGAGCUGGCUGUGCUAUUUGUUAUGACUGCAUCUGAAACACAAGAAUCCAGAAUCAAAGGCUGAACUUAAAAAUUUAAAUAGAAACAUGGAAGGGGAAGGGCUCACAGGAAAAUCUGCCAUCCACAUGGGGAAUGCCCUUGAUGAGAUGUCAGUAGAUCCAACACUGGAGAAGAGAAGGACACCCCAGGUCAAAACAUAGAGGAGGGGCAUUUCAACACCUGAGGAGCACACCAGGCCAGCAAGUGCUACUCAAGUCACCCAACAUCUAGGCAACUAGUCUCCAAACCUAGGCGAGGAAGGAGAGCAGGAAGGUUUGGCAUUGAAGUGUCCCCAGAUGUGAUGAGAGCAAUAACCCCAAAUCCAGGGAGUCAACAAAUCCCAACAGAAGAACAAUGAAGUAGAUGCAAGAAACACCACAGUGGGUCGCAGGAAUCCAACACAGAAUGGAAACCUGGAAAUCAGCCAAGAGGACAUCUAAGUUUCAGCAGUAUCAGAAACCAGGAAAUGGUGAGCUUCCUACCAGAAACAGGCAGGUAAAUGGGACAGCCAGCACCUCCCAGCUGCAGGCCAAAUGGCACCUCAGGGACCUCUACAGCCAGUGGAGGGGUCUCUUCACCAAGUAAAGGCAAAGCAAAGUCUGAAAGAGUCAUGGAAGCCUAUCACAAUGGGAGCAGCAGAUUUCCAUCAUAGGCAUGUUACAGGAACACACUGGUCAGGGAGAGAUGAGCCAGGUGCAAACUGGUCUGCACACCAGAAUGCAAAGCAAAGACAAUGGUGUCAACAUGGGGAAUAAAUGAGAGCUCUGUAGAAUUAUUAUUAUUGACUAUUCAAAAGAGCGUCCAAUGUUUACACAAAAAUAAUAACCAUGCAGCAUGCUUGUGACACAGCCAAAGGUGCAAUGGUGAAGCUUCAGCCCAUUACCAAGAGGGAAACAGCUUGGGAGACUACUGCAGCAUUAUCACACGGGACCAGGUGGCAGGCAGUGCUCAAAGACAGAUCAUGACAAGCUAAAGGCUCAUGAUAAGCCCUAAAGCUACUGCAGAGUAAGAAAAGAAAGCUAUAGCCCGCAUGUUAAUAAAAGUGACAAAACAGAACAAUAAAAAAAGAGUUGAUUCAUCCAAAAGAAGGCAUAAAAGAGAAAAGGAGACUAGAGGACAGGUGGGACAGAUAAAAAUAGACAGCAAGGGCAUGUCUUAACCCUGGCCACACACACAGCAGUGGGACUGGGAAUGGCCUGAGCACUCCGAGAGUAACAUCAGAGAACAAAACACUAAGUGCUGCCCACGACAACUCUACCAAACACAGAGAGGUGAAAAACACAAGGGACAUCUCUGCUUCUACCUGAUGCUGCAUCAGUCAAAAACACUGCAGUGGCUAUGCCAACAUCAGAAAAAGGGGACAUCAUAGCAUAUGAUACCACUAUGAGCAAAUAGGUCCAUGUAAUAAAGGUGAAAGUGUCGACUCUCAAGAGACCUAACAAUCCCAAUGCGCUACACCUAACAACAGCUUCAGAAUACAUGAAGUGACAACAUCCAGAGCUACCAUGGAAAAAAGCCAGCUCCCCAGUGGUGGGAGGGCAACACUUCUCUCAGUCAUUCACACAACAGGUGGAAAGAACUCAGGGGACUUGAACACCUGGCAGCCCUGUGGAACACCCCACCUAGCAGCAGAACACCCUCCAGGAGCAUAUAGCAUCAGCAAGAGAAAUCCCCCUCCCACCACAAAGCAGGUCUAGGCAGAGUGAAAGGACUCAAGUCCUUAUGGUGUGUUCUCUGAUCACACAGGAAUAAAUACCAGAAAUCAUAGUGGGGUCUAUGUGGAAAAUCCCCAAACACUGGAAAGUACCUAACACCUUUUUGAACACCAUGGAUCAAAGAAAAGAGUCAAAAGCAAAAUUAGAGCAUACUGUGAAUUGAAUGAAGAUGAAAAUAUGGUGUACGAGAAUGUGAGGGAAUGUACAGCACUAGCUCUAGAGAGAAGAACCAGGUCUAAUCUAUGACCUCAGCUUCCACCUAAUUGUCUCCUGGAAAAUUAGCCAAUUAAAUCCAAAGUUAGCAGAUGAAAGGAAAUAUUAGAUCAGAUGUCAAUGCAAUGUAAAAAGUAAGAAAAGAAAAGUAGUAAAAAUCUAUGAAACCAAAAGCUGAUUUUUUGAGAAGAUCAUUAAAAUUGAUAAAGCAGUAGCCACAAUAAUCAGGAGUGAAGGAAAUGGCCAAAAUGGUCAAUGCCAGGAAUGAGAGAGGAUGUCACUGAAGGUUGGAGACAUAUGAAAAUGUCAUAAUGUCAUGAGGGACCCUUGGGGACAGACCCCUCUUGGUGGAAGGAUGGAGAAGGAUGGAGCCUGUGAAGAGGGUCUGUAGGCUGCCAGGCACAGGUGUGACAGGAUCACUUUGGAGAGUGCUAAUUCUGAAGGAGACACAGAAAGAAGUCAUGGGGGUGGCUGGGGACACCACUGCCAUGCAUAGGGGAAUUUAUCUGACCUGAGACCUGAGUGAGGGGCUCUGGCAUCCCAGUGAGGUGAGAGUAAGAUGUGCCCCUACAGGAAAGAAGCCAGUGUGGCCCCUGAAGGGGGCAAGAAAGGAGGGCUAAAGAUGGUGACAGCACGCAGCAGCCUAGACUACCCAGGCCUGCCUUAAGGAAGCACUGUGUCCUCCCUGUGUGAACACAGGGACGACCACCCAACAGAGGCUGUGGCUGGGCACAGGAGACCCUCCCAAAGCUGCUUCUUGUCACAGGCAAGGGACAGGUGUGCUUUUGGGUCAGAUCAGCCUCUGCCUGCCUGGGGGUCAUAAGCAAGUUCUCUCAGAACCAAGGUAAAGCCAUCUCUCAAGCCUCAGUUUUCCUCAGAGAUUGCCAUAACUAGAUGAUCUUCAAAGUCUCAUUCCAAUCAAAUGCAGUCUGGAACUUUGUAUAUUGAAACACAGCUGGUCAAGACUGGAAUACAAUCUCCCGAGUCCAUAAGAGCCAUAUGUGCAGAUGUGUGACAUGGGACAGGCUGGGGACCAGAAAGUGGUCAAGCCUGUGCACAUACUGUCACUCACUUAGAAGAUGGACACAGAGGCUCAAGGACAGCCAGACACUUGUCUAUGUCACAGCCAGGAAGUGGGAGCAGAAACUGGGACAUCGGCUGGACUCCUGCUCCUCCUUCCUCACCUGCCCCACCUUCUCCCAUCACUGUGCUCCAGAACUUUGCCAUCACUGUCUCUCUGAUACACCCUGCUCAAAAUGGCCAGGACAGCAGUGGACAGAAGUCCCCAUCCAGGAAGAGAUGAUCAGUUUCCCUCUCUGCCUUUAUCACAUGGAAACAGCCAGGGUGAGAUCCACCAGCCAUUCUACAGUUCUCCCUCCUUCCUCUCCCAACCAUGAAGCUCAGCCCUAGAGACAAUGUUCACAACAGGCUGCCCCUCCCCACAGAUGGCACGGAAGACCACAGGCCAAGGGUAGGCACUUGGAGGUCUCAGGAAGGCCACCUGGGGCAGCAGGAACACAGGGCUUUCAUUGACCUGGAAUCUCAUGCACUGCAAGCUUGUGUGUUUAUUUUGCUUUCAGAAAAUGAACAGCAUCUUUAUGCAGACUUUUAAAUGUCUAAACACCUUUUGAAAGGUGUUACAUGUUCUUGCUUUUAAAAAAAAAAUUAGUCCCAUCUUGGUAAUAUUGUGUUUCUCAAGCUUGGUUUUGAGGAAUGCGUGUUCAUGCCACAGCUGUUCUCCUAGGAUAAUCCCCUACCUCACAUCCUUAACUUAUUGAGACAUGCAAAGCCCCUUUGUCCAGGCAUAGAAAUACCCACGAGUGCUGGGGAUUGGGGAGUGGUCAUCUUUGGGGUCAUCACUCUGCUUACCAGUGGACAUGUGGUUUUGCCCUUGGUGAGGUGUAGCUAUUCCAAAUGAUUCCUUAGGUAGAGAACCUGUCCCUGGACUCUGGUGGUAAGGAUGAAGAAGGAGCACCAACUGGGCUUCCAAGUGCCAGGUGAACUUUAAUCACAAGCACUCAUGACUCAUUUGAUCCUCUCUGGGUUGUGCAAGGCAGGAACAUUCUGGGCCUCCAUACUACAGAUUAGACACCUGGAAGCUCAACAGAGGCAGGUCGACCGGACACAGGGCAGUCACUGUGGAAAGAAAAGAAAGUAGAUAGAUCUCCAUAAAUAUCCACAUUUCUAGAUUCCCUCAUUAAAAGAAAAAUACAAACACCUGCUACACAGAGCCCAGGAUCCUCCAAGGCAGCUGCUGUCCUGCGUGAUUGGUGAGGGCUCCAACUAUGUGGCAUCAGCCGCCACUCCUGAUGCCCCACCAGCCACUCAGACACUCGUGGCUCCUGUGUGCUUUUGAGUCACAAGUGUCUAGCACAAAAUAUUUCACUCUGAACACUAAUGGAAAGCAGUAUAGAUUGCUCCAAGGAUCUCCCCAAAGUUACCAUGGCAACAUCCUCUAAGAAAUAAGUGUGAGGCAACAAUAAUUCACUAUUUCUGGUUUAUUGCAUUAAAAAAACACAUCCAUAUCAACACUCGUUUAUGAAUCUAAGCGACCACAUUAUUCACAAGAGCCAAAAAUUAGAGACAACCCAAAUGUCCCCCAGCUGAUAUCAGCCGAGUGGACAAGACCAGUGCCACACAUGUGAGCAGCAGUAACAGAGGUUAUCAGCCAUGAAGGGGGACAUCCCAACACAUGCUGCCACACAUUAGAUGGAUGAGCCUGGAAAACAUCAUGCUGUGUGCAAGAAGCCAGACCCCAGGGCCACACAUCACAUAAGUCAUCUUACAUGAAGUGUUGAAGACACACCAGUUUACACAGACAGAGGAGGACGGAGGGUUGGUGGUGGGAGGGAGUAGAGAGUGACUGAGUGUGAAUAUGGGGUCUCUUUGGGGAGAACAAAUCAAUUUCAGUGGUGCUGUCCCAACCCUAUGAAUGCUCUGAACCCAUUGAUCCAUGUACUAUAAACAGCUGAAUUUCAGGGUGUGCAAGUUUCCUCUCAAUAAGUUUUUGUUGAAGAAAACAACUGAGACUAGUGCAUCCACCAAGACACUCAGCAUGGCUAGACACAGUGACGCCUGGCUGCUGCUGGGAGAGUGAGACCAUCAAGCAGUGCUGGGCAGCCCCAGGGGCCACAUCCACCCACACAUGAGGCCUGGGGCUCCCUGUAGGGUUGCCCCAUCCCUAAUUCAAAGCUGAGCAGGGCAGCUGCAGGCAGAAAGUAGGCUGCUCACAAGGUGUCCUGUUGCCCAGGCCUGGGGUCACCCAAAGGGUUGGUUACUUAGGGUCCAUUUGGGUCCACAUUUAAGCUUGCUUGGGCCAACUCAGCUGCCCUGCUCCCAAGUCUAAGGCAGCAAGGGCAGCAGCCCAGACCCCAGGACCCACAUGUCACAUGCAUCCUCUUCCAUGAAGAGUUGAGGAUACACCAGUUUACUCAGACAGAGGAGGACGGAGGUGGGCUAGGACAAGGAGACUUGGUGGUGGUAGGAAAUAGAGAGUGGCUGUGUGUGAAUAUGAAGCCUCUUUGGGGUGAACAAAUCAGUUUCAGUGGUGCUGCCCCCACCUUAUGAAUGUUCUGAACCCACUGAUCCAUGGACUUUAAAGGCUAAAUUUCAGGGUGUGUGAAUUUCCUCUCAAUAAGUUUUUGUUGAAGAAAACAACUGAGACUACUGCAUCUAUCAAGAUUCUCAGCAUGGCUAGACACAGUGCCGCCUGGCUGCUGCUGGGAGGCUGUUAUCAUCAAGCAGUGCUGGAAAGCCCCAGGCCCCAUGUCUGCCCAUUCAUGAGGACUGGGGCUCCCUGUGGGGUUGCCCCAUCCCUACCUCAAAGCUGAGCAGGGCAGCUGCAGGCAGGAAGGAAGCUGCUCACAGAGUGUCAUGUUACCCAGGCCUGGGAUCACUCACAGUGUUGGUUAUGUAGGGUCCAUUUUGGACCACCCUUUAGCUUGCUUGGGCCAACUCAGCUGCCCUGCUCCAAUGUCUGAGGCAGCAAGGGCAGCAGCCCCUCACUGCCCAGCCAGGCUGGCUGCACUAUGAGCACUGUCCCAGAACACUUGCUGACCUCAAGAGCAGCCAGCCAGCCCCAGGACAUGAGCCUGUCCCUCUGUUGCUCACCCUGCAUUCUGUGGAGGACACAGAAUGAAUGGCGGGGAGGCCCUGCCCCAGAAGUUGCCACUCCCCUCCACCGCACCCCCAAACCUGCCACCCCCUGUGCACAUAGGUCGUUAUUACCUUCUUGAACCUGAGCAAUUAAAAAUGGAAAGAGCUCAUCUCCUUCCAGCCUCCUGGCCUGUCAUGAACAUCCAGAGACUUGGGAAGCAUUGGGCUCUGCCUCCUGCAGCAAGAGGGGAUGGGCUGAGUGACACAUCCCCCUCAGAUAGGAGAGAGCUCUCGGGCCCCUGCCUCCACUACCUCCUUUCCUCUAGACCCAGGUCUCGCUCACAUGUGAACUGGGUUCCCCAGAGAGUUUCCAGUGUGUGAGUCUUGACUUGCUCAGCACUUCAUCGAGCUUCUGACCCUGGCCCCAUCUCAGCAGCUUGUGAAAGACCAAAGGACCAGCCAUGGGGCCAGCUAUAGCCAAACUGCUCUGCAUCCCUAUGACACUCCACACUGGGGCAAUUCAGAUGGACAGCAUGGUCCCUAGGGAAUGGUGCCUCUUAACCACAGCAGCUCCUACUGGGCUGUAAUUUGUGACUACACUGUGGCACCUUGCAAGGAAGACACACACAGGGUCAGCAGCACCUCACAGGAUGAGGACCUCAACACCCACGUUCUCUAUCCUCAGAGCUCAGAGGCAUCACAAGGUCAUAGCCAGCCUGCCAGGCUGCAUGUGAAAAAGGGGGCUCCUUGUGCACAGACCCACCCAGCAGAAGCCAGCCUGGCUUUCUAUGGCUGUUUCUCAAUGGGACCUGGGAAUGGACCAAGGAGAACCCACAGAGAGUCUGGUGGGGACACAGCCCAUCCAGGAGGACAGGUUGUGUUGUGCCCUCUCAUACCCUGAUUCCUCCACCCACAGUGCCCCUUCCUGUAGAGAAGGCUGGCCUCACAACCAUCACCAGCCAAGGGCAGAACUUCCCAGAGUCACAGCAUUUUGGGGGAAGGUGGGAAAAGUAGGCAAGUCUGACCCAAGUCCACUGCAAACUCUCUCAGCCUGCUCUAAAUGUUCUCAUUUCUUUCCUCAGAAAAGAAUCCAGCAGCUUCUCCAGUUUUGUCCUAAGAAAACAUGGCUUCCUCACUCUGUCUCAGGACAUCAGUGUUCAGAGCUCUAUACUGGGUCCUGAGCUAGCAUCCCUCCUUCAUCACCAAGGAGAUUUCACAAAAAAGUAGAGUUCUGUUCCUGGGCAGAGAGCUUGGAGAUGUCCCUGAUGUCAAGAAUUGAGCCCCUCAUAUCCCAGCCCCCAGCCCAGGGGCACAUCAAAAUGUGUGAAGGAGAGACUGACCAACUGCCCUGAAAUCUCAGCAUUUCACGCUCACCAAGCACAGGGGCAGGAGUGUCUUCCUGUUCAACAUGGCAGGCUGACCACAUGAUAAACUUCCUUGUCCUCCCUCAAGAUCUCAUUGAUGUAAGACUAAAGGUAUGCAAAAGUAGAAAGCUCUUGACCAAAAGGAGCCCCCAGUGACAAAGAGAAAAGUCCUUUCUGGAUCAAUAGGAACUGGUUUUGGAAGCAACACUCUGAACAAUGUACUGCUGCUGACGUGGAGGCCCUGCUCCAGGAGAGACUGGGGGUGCCAUAUACCGAUAACGUGCAGACAUUUGCACAUGAUCAGGUAUUACAUAUGUCACUCGGGAUGUGUCUUGUUAACUUUACUCAUCACCAAUACCUAUCCAUGCAAAGUGUGGGAGCCUGAGGUGCUGCUUGUUCCUCUCUGAGGAGGGGAUAGUCAACACCCGCACCACCCAACACCCUGUCUUGACAGGUAUAAUGUCCUAAUCUCCAGGGAAAUGUGAUGGCCCCUCACCUCCGGGGGGCUGCAGAGCAUUCAAAAUGUGGCUACUGCCACUGAGAAACCAAAUUUUAUUUAACUUUAGUUGAUUCCAAUUGUAAUAGCCAAAGAUAACUAGUGGCUGUUAAAUUGGAUAGUGCAGAUGCUACAAUUAAAUGGCACCUCUUACAGAGUGGACACAGCUGUCAUAGUGGUAGUACUAGUGAUGUUAGUAACAGUAACAAAGUAAUGGCUCCAAUCACUAACCUGUUUUUACCAUAAAAUCAUCCCCCUAAUGAUGGUGAGGUGUUUUAAAACUAGUACCUUGUGGUGGUUGAUGGUUUUUGAAGUGCAAGAAUCUCACAUUUGAUUUCUUGCCUCCUCUUAAGUAGAAGUGAAUGGGGUACUUGACAUCACACUGCAGAGUCCAUGUGACCCUUUUGCAUAUGGUACAACCCAGGCAGACCUGCUGUAGGCACAGUUUCAGCAGAGGGGGAGUUCAGAGAGGAACUGAAUGACUUGACUUGGCUUGAGCACCUACCCAGGUCCCCAGCUGCUGGAGUCAGCCUAGGCAGGAUGGCCCUGUGUCUACCCUCUGCCCUGGGCUCACCUGUUUUUUUCUUAGUUGUGGAUAGAUCUUUAAUUUUUUUUAUUUAUAAAUGGUGCUGAGAAUGGAACACAAGGCUCCGACAUGCAAGGCAAAUGUGCUAUGGCUGAGCUACACUCCCAAUGUGGUAACUUUUUAAAAAAAGUGUUAGAGAUAUAAUUAUAUAGGAAUAUGUAUACAGAUAUGUAAAAGUAAUUUUAAGAAAUAAAACACUAGAGGGACUGGGGAUGUAGCUCAGCGGUAGAGUGCUCAACUGGUAGAGCAGAGGCCCUGGGUUUGAUCCUCAGCACCACAUCAAAAUAAAUCAACAAAAUAAAGGCAUUGUGUCCAAAUACACUCCCUCAAAAAAACCUAGUAAAAUAUAUAUUUUAUAUAUGCAUGUAAAAUGAUUACAGUGGACCACUUCUUGGUAAAAUUAAAAAAUUAGCCACAGUACCAAUGAAUGACUCAUUUAAAUUGAAAUUCUUGGGCUAAAGGUAGGCAUGCACUUUAAAUUUUGGCAUAUUUUCUGAAACUUCUCUGCAGAAGAGUUAUGACAAUUUUGUGUUGCAGUUAUGAGAGCAUGAUAAUUCCAUUCUCCAACGCUGUUGACAUUAGAUUUUCACACUCUCUUUAUUCUGUGUAUUUGAUAGGCAAACACACACAUGUACUUUAUGUUUCCUUUGGAUUCCUCUACUGUGAUUUGGAUUACUAAAUUUUUGGUAUGUCAUCUUGUAUAAACAGCAGACACUGGGUUUUCCCACUUUUGUAGGCUCUUUGUUUCUCCCUAUUGACUUGUAGGAGGUCCCUAUGUUGUUAAGUUCUCAGAAGCAGGGCAGAUACCCACAGAAACAUCACCAAAAAACUGUUUUCUAGCAAUUGGCCACAGUUUUGCCUCUUGCAGAGAGCUCUUUGCCAGCUUGACCUGAGAACUUCCCGUUACUCUGGCCUCUCAAAACUUGCACCGCCUCCCAAUCACCUUGCCCUGUGGACCAAGCCUUGAACAUAGGUUGCCUUGAGAAUCUUCAACAUCUCAACCAUAGAUACCCUUCACUGAGUGCAGUGAAUCAUGUAAGCUCUGUUCCCAGGGGAGAGAAAGUCCAUACCGCUGUGACAGUUUCCUAUGAAUAGGUGUCUGCAACUAUGCUUAUUUCAAUAUUCACUAUUAUGUGGUCAAAUGGAAAUCCUGGAGAAAGUUAUGGAGAUUUUGUGGAAUGGUUUUCAUUAACUCAGAAAGGAAAGAUAGGAAAUAAAAAUAAUUACUAAAAUUUAAUCAUUCGUUAAUAAUUAAUAAAUUUAAUUAUUAAAUAAUUAUUGAAGCUUCAUAAAGGGAAGUAUCGAGAAGUCUAUAAAAAAUGAAUUCAUUCCAUAACUGCCUUUGUGAAGAUGAAGAGUAGCCAUAGUAUUUCUAGCACUAAGACAAAUUCGCCACUGGGAUGUAAUUGAGAGAGGGCUUCUUUCCACUUGAUAUAUUUUGUAUGAAUAUUCACUGACCUGUGUUGUUUGGUUUUCUGGCAUUCCCUCUUAUUUGGAUUCAGACUUGCCCAGGGCUACCCUGCAAUAGGCCAUAUUCAUACCAGAAAGACAGAUUACUAAACCCCAGUUAGGAUAUGUAAGUGAUACACAUAUCUUUCAGUUCAUAAGAUUCUCAUUUUAUCUGUAGACGCUAAAAACUGUUGAACCAUCUCUAGGAAAUUUCCAGUUUCCAGGAAAGGAAGAUGCAGUCCUUCCUCUCAUUCUGUCUGUCUCCCUGGCUGUGGAGUCUGGAUGUGUUCAGGGGCUUUUCAAAUAUUUGACAAGGGCCCAAAUUCCCAUGAUUGUUCAAAGCAAAGGCCUUAUAGGAAUUGUGCCCUGUUCUCAUUAACCAUGCAAGGAUACUCCUAGGAAAUUUGUAUCAGCAUAAAGGGACAGUUAUCAAAAGAGUGAUAAGCAAUAAAUACUUUCUUAUUUGGUAAAUUUUUCUAUAAUUUUUUUCUUUAGUAUUAAACUGAGCUUACCAAAACUGGAAGUUAAAAAUGAGUAACAAUACCAGUGAAGCCUAGAUUUGUCAGCUUUUUCGCUACAGUGAAGACCCGAUCUGAUCAGAAUUAUCUUAGGGGAGCAAAGUUUAUUCGGGGGCUCAUGAGUUCAGAGGUCUCAGUUCAUAGAGAGCAGGCUCCAUUCUUUGGAACCUCAGGUGAGGCAGAACAUCAUGGCAGAAGAGUGUGGCAGAGGGAAGUAGCUGACAAGAUGAUCAAGAAGCAGAGAAAGAGAUUUCUACUUUUUACUUACAGAUAGAUAGCCCACAUCCUUGACCAAAAAGACAGACCUCCUCCAGGUCUGGAGGCACCCGCUUGCCUUCAGUUACCUUGCAACCGAUCCAAACAGGUGAGUAGUUCACAGAUUGGGUUAAGGCUCUUGAUGCCCAAUUAACUUCUACUCUCCAAAGAUUCAAAGAAGUAUUUACUAGAAGAGAAAACAGCCUCCUAAACCCAACACAGCAUGUUUGGAAAGUAUAAAAAACAAAAACAAAAAAGUCAAUAAAAAUGUUUCCAAAGAGUUGUGACCAGAUGAAUAGCUUACAAAUCAGCCACCUUUGUCAAUACCUGCCAUGGCUGCUCACUCAAAUGAGAACAACUAAGGUAUCCCUGCUCCAGAUCUUCCUCAUUUUCUCAAAGAAACAUCAAAUGGUACAAAUGCUACACAGAGAAAAGGGAGAAAAGGCAGUGCCAAGGACCAGCUCUCUUUUUUCAUCACCUCUAGCUUGCUCAGCUCACAUGGAAUUUGACUUCCAUGCUGACAACUAGUAUUAGGCCACCUAAUUAUACAUUCAACUAGGGAGCCUGCCUCAGAAAGGUACUAUAGAACAAAUUCUGGUGCAAGUUCUCCUUUGAUUUCAGGCCUUGGAAUAAUUGUGAGCAUCCUUUCUUCUUCAAGAAUAGGCAGACUAACACCCCACCCACAGUGGACAAUCAUACCUGGACACAAUAUGUGGGAACAAAAAAGAAAGAAAAAAGAAAAGAACAGAAAACACAAGAGAGAACGACAAAGAGGCUCACGAACUUUGAUCCUCCAGAUGCUCCGAUUUUCGGCAACCCACACAAGGGAUCAUGACAAUGACUUGAUUUCCAGACAGUCACUGUCCUCAAACAUCUCAAACAUCUUUUUCUGCCUAUUCUUGAAGAAGAAAGGAUGCUCACAACUAUUGCAAGGCAUGAAAUCAAUGCACUCCACUCAAAAAUCCUCUCACCCUAGUUUCAAUUCUUGUGAAGGAAGUGCCGAAGUAUUUGAACAAUACUCCCAUGAAAUGACUGCAGAGCAGGGGAAAGUCCGGCACACAGAAAGGAAGUGUUUCACGUCCAUCCACUUUGGAGUCAAAGGCCUGGAGAUCCUAGGCUCUGGCAGAAGAGUGCACUGGUUUGUGUUCUCCAUGGGACUUUCUGGGCUUUGCGUGCCAAGGAUCCCCCUUGGUGGCUGCUAUGCCAUCCUGGCUGCUCUCCAGAUACUUGCGGGUGUCACAGGACAGGCGGACUGACAGCCCAAUGACGUCACCGUGUGCCAGUCAUCCUAGGGGCUUCCUGACCUGGUGGCAUCCCAGGAAGAUCCAACACAAGCAGCAGCUCAGUGGUCACAUUAGGAGGGGAGACCUUAGGACCGAACACCAUGAGGGCAAGUUCUUUUCAACACAUGCGGCCCCAACUCCUUUAGCCCCUGCAAGUGCAGAGUGGUUCUGCUGGUGGCCUGUCUAAUGUGCCCUCUGGACACUCCUGCUCCUUCCAGGGCCCUGGACCCAGCUGUCACUAACCUGACAGCACCCUGCAGUACCGCUAGGCGGCGCUGCCUGCAGUUGGUCGCACCAGGCAGGCCUAGUGCCAGAACACCCUGCCUCCUGGCGCCAGCCCGCUGUGGACUCUGCAGGUGCAGCGAACCUGGGAGGGCUGGAGGGCUGGGAGCACUAGGAGGACGCGAGGAUCAACACAGGUAGCACCAGCCCCAGCGGCAUUGCCCUCCCAUCCUGCUCCUCCAGGUCCUGGCCCCGCUGAAAGUUGGCCCAGUCAGCGAAUUUGCCUGGGUUCCCAGCAGCCCUAGGGAGCGGCCACUGUGGACACAUGAGGGCAGUGGAGCAUCCAAAGCAGCUGGGCGGGUUAUGGGAACUUUGAGCUCCACCACCUCCUACCACCGGGUGCCCCUCCAUUCCCAGAAAGCCAAUUCUGGAGAUCAUUGCAACCUGGGCAGAAUGAAGGCUAAGGGCAGGUGGGUGGAUCUGUUGCUUUUUAGUGAGGGCAGCAGGGAGAGAGUACCUGAACAUGGGCGACAGAGGGAAGGAGCAAGAGAGCAAGGGAGCUUCCAGCAUGGUGCACCCUCUGCACCAGCCAGGCCCACUUUGGCGGCUGCAGCUGCUGCUGCUGUUGCUGCUACUUUUGCCGCUGCCCGGCACCAAGUCCAGUCCAGAAAUCCUCUGGGCCCGACUGUCCAAAGGUCCCUUCCAUUUACCCGCAGCUGCAGAGUUAUCUAGCCAUUUGGGAUGAACCUGAGGCUUCCUCCUCUUGGCCUGACUCUAGUCUCUCAGACACAAAGCCCUCUGAGACAAUGCCCCAGGUUCUUGGGGCAACCUCUGGAGGAAGACAUUUCACUGGAGUGUCACAGCCCCUACCACAAUGAUACUCCAAAAUGUCUGUGGGAUGAGUGAACCAAGUGCCUGAUUGUAACCUGAUAAUCAGGCUCAACCAGUGCUGCCUGUCAAUUUCACACAUCAGCCUUGCUAGAGGAGUGGAAAUGUAGAAGUUUCUAAAGUUGGAUAUUAGUAAAAGGGGGAGAGCUCAAAACUUCUCUUUGGAGCACUAAAUCCAGAAAGGAGUUGGUAAUAAGAGGAUGGGGUUUAUUUCACAGACACUGAAAGAAACGUUGCUGGUAUUGAUUUGCCUCUGACAAAUAGCAGUAGUGUCACCAGCUUCAAGAUAUCAUAAGCAAGAAGCUCAGGUGGAAGAUUCUGAAGCAAAAAAAAAGAAUGGAAAGAAUUCAACUUCCAUAGAACAUAAGGCUCUUGCAGAUUCUGAGCCAUUUCUUGCUGAUUGCAGCACACAGCAGAUCACACAUGUGCUAAUUUUGCUUUUCUAGUGGAAGACCUAAGAGGGAAGACUUUCCUGACAGAAUAGAACCUUCACCCAACUGUAAAAUAAUAAAUCAAUUGUUAUAUUAGUCAGCUUCCCAAGACUUUAAUGAAAUACCUGAGAUAACUGGCAUUUAUAGACAAAAUGUUUAUUUUUCUUAUGAUUCUGGAUGUUCUAACCCAAGAACUAAGGACCCCUGUUUUGCCCCUCUAGAAAGGGAAUCACAAUAUGAUGUAAGCACAUGGCAGAGCAAGCUGCUCACCUCAUGGGCUAGGAAGCACUAGAGCACAGGCCCGGCCUACAAUCUCCUCUGGGGAAAUGCACUGUGACCUGAGAACUUCCCAUUACCCUGACCUCUCAAAACUUGCAUUGCCUCACAAUCACAUUGCCCUGUGGACCAAGCCUUUAACAUAUGUGCCUUGAGAUACUUCAACAUCCCAACCACAGCUACCCUUCACUGAGUGUCAUUGAUUAAUCAUGAAGCCCUGUUCCUAGGGAAGAGAAACUAAAUCCCACUGUGACAGUUUUCAACUAGUAGGUGUCUUCAACUCUAUGUAUUUCAACAUUCAUUAUUAUGUUGUCAAAUGGAAGUCCUGGAGAAUGUUCUGGAGAUUUUGUGAAAUUGUUUUCAUUAACUCAGAAAAGGGAAGUAAAUAAAUGUACUUGAAAUGUGGAA